rnacentral:lncRNA from 1 species
UUGUUGGCGCGCGUGCCCAGGAUGUACGCCAGCGCUUGGCAGCCGAUGACGGUGAACUUGUUGGUGUCGGCGAUCCUGUAGGGCGUGCCCCUGAAGUUGAGCUGCCAAGGGUCGGCGUCCAUGCCGUGCGAGGUGGCGUUGUAGCAGUAGCUGGAGAUAUGGUUCUGCAUCCGKACUCUGACCUUGCUGCAGCGAAACGCGGACGACCUCCAUGUUGCUGAAAAAUGGCCUGCGGCUCCCGCCAUUAAUCCCGGUCUCGUUGCAGGUCAGGUGGAAGCCGGGCAUGGCGCAGUUGGCGUCGUCCGGCGAGUCGACGAUGCCGAACGGGUAAGGGAUGUCGACGCCGCCGCAUUCCCUCUGGCAGCUGCUGCUCGGCCUAGGUGGUGCCGCUCCAACAAGUAGAAGCAGCGGUACGCGGAGCCAUACUGCCAGCAGUAGAGAAGCAGCUGCUGAUCUGUGGGACGCCAUGGAGGAGUGCUCUGGUUACGAGUUGUUUAAUGGGUAUGGGUACGCUAAAACACAUCUACGUACAUUCAUUUCUAUGACAAGUAUUUUCGAACGGAGGGAGUACUACAUACUAUCAAAUAUGUUCAUGUGUUGCAACGCGAAAAAUAAAUCCUUAAAUGCUGCAGGUGAUCCAUUCGUAUUCACACCCUCUUCGCUAUAAUCGCCGAUGGUAGUCAUGUUUUCAAGGCGCUGAUCUUGGUCAUCAUACUCAAACACGUCGCUUUCGCCANNNNNNNNNNNNNNNNNNNNNNNNNNNNNNNNNNNNNNNNNNNNNNNNNNNNNNNNNNNNNNNNNNNNNNNNNNNNNNNNNNNNNNNNNNNNNNNNNNNNCCAAAAUCAGUGAGUAAUAUCAKAYAGAAAAUGGGCACAAUAGGCCAAAACUGCAAUUUUUUACGAGUUCACCGUAACCGGACCACGGGGUUACAGAAACAUUCGGAUCACAAGGGCACCCAAAAUUAGUGACUAAUAGCAUACAAACUGGCCAGAAUAGGCCAAAACUAAGAGUUUGCAUGAGUUCCACGUAACCGGACCCCGGGAUUUCUAAAACGUUCGGAUCGCACCGGGACCCAAAAUCAGUCAUUAAUAGCAUAUAAAACUGGCGAGAUAAGACCAAAACUACAAGUUUUGACGAAUUCUCCGUAACCGGACCCCGGAGUUCCCGAAACGUUUGGAUCGCAGCGGGACCCAAAAUCAGUGAGUAAUAGCAUACAAAACUGGCCAGAAUAGACCAAAACUGCGAGUUUCGACGAGUUCCCCGUAACCGUACCUAGGGCUUCCCAAAACGUUCGGAUCGCAGCGGGAGCCAAAAUCAAUGAGUAAUAGCAUACAAAACUAGCCAGAAUAGACAAAAACUGUGAGUUUUGACGAGUUCCCCGUAACCGGACUCCGGGGUCCCGAAGUGUUCACAUCGCAGAGGGAACCAAAAUCGGUGAGUAAUAGCAUACAAAACUGGCAUGAAUAGGCCWAMWCUGNNNNNNNNNNNNNNNNNNNNNNNNNNNNNNNNNNNNNNNNNNNNNNNNNNNNNNNNNNNNNNNNNNNNNNNNNNNNNNNNNNNNNNNNNNNNNNNNNNNNGCCGGGAAAAGCGACGAUAGGAUGCGACGCAACCGGUGGAGAGUGGCGACGACGAUGGUGCGCGCAUCCAUCAUGGAUGGUUGCUAGCUAGUGCUACCACAUCCAUCGAUCCAUCCCUUUAAUUUGUCGGCCUCUCCAUCGACCGGCUCUGCUCUCGCUCUUGGGAUGAGAUUUUGCUGCCUGCUUAAUCCCUCUCCAUCUCCUCAGGUAUUUUUUGGACCAUGCAUCCAAAGAGAAGAAGAGUAUUCUCGUGUCACCCGAAAGCGUCGACAUUACAGCUAGCUGCUGAUUCAGAUUGACGCUACUCCUCCUCUUGGUUCAUUAUCACAUGCACGCGUGCAUGUGGGGUUCGGAGUUAAGUAAACACGGAUACCUGGGGACCGUUCGAAUACACUAUUCAGCUACWCWGCGGGGAGAUCUAGCGAUCSAGCASWARGCAGAUCAACAUGUGCGAGCACAAACACUAGCUGAUCUGCAUGCUCCAAAUAACAGCUGAUCAUCACAGACGCUCCAGCAAGCUAAUCAAGCACGCACGUACGUACGCUAGCUAGAGAUCGAUAAGGUGACACAUUGUUGUCAAAAGUUGGUAGAUUAGCAAGCUGUAGUACCACAUGAUGACAUAGUUAAGGUAGAAACAUAAUUUUCGUAGCAAUAGGUGGAAUCAUGCAUUUUCAGGGGAAAUGAUGACGAUGAUGGUGUGUGUCCCUGCAGAGGCAAGCAGCACGCCCCUGGAAAGCUGGGAACUAAAGGCCAUAUAUGUCGAUCCCACUAUGCAUCCGAACAGAUCGAAUAUCGAAUAUACUAAAGUGUCUACGCCCGCUAUGUACUGAGUAUCUUGCACACAGUUGCAUNNNNNNNNNNNNNNNNNNNNNNNNNNNNNNNNNNNNNNNNNNNNNNNNNNNNNNNNNNNNNNNNNNNNNNNNNNNNNNNNNNNNNNNNNNNNNNNNNNNNUCAUAUUACAACGGGAUCCAAAAUCAGUGACUAAUAGCAUAGAAAACUGGUCAUAAUAAGCCAAAACUAUGAGUUUUGACGAGUUCUCUUUAACCGGACCACGGGGUUCCUAGAACGUUCGGAUCGCACGAGGACCCAGAAUACUAAUAGAGUACAAACGUGGCCAGAAUAGGCUAAAACUGUGAGGUUUGACGAGUUCCCCGUAACCGGACAUCGGGGUUCCCGAAACGAUCGGAUCGCAACGGGACCCAAAAUUAGUGAGUAAUAGCAUACAAAACUAGCCACAAUAGGCCAAAACUGCAUGUUUUGACGAGUUCCACGUAACCAGAUCCCGGGGUUCCUGAAACGUUCAGAUCGCAGCGGGACCCAAAAUCAGUUAGUAAUAGCAUAAAACUAGCCACAAUAGGCCAAAACUGCGAUUUUUGACGAUUUCCCCGUAACCGGACCACAGGGUUACCGAAACGUUCGGAUCACAGCGGGACCCAAAAUACAGUGAAGCAUACCAUACAAAAUGCCGGGAAUAAGCCAAAAUUGCGAGUUUUCACGANNNNNNNNNNNNNNNNNNNNNNNNNNNNNNNNNNNNNNNNNNNNNNNNNNNNNNNNNNNNNNNNNNNNNNNNNNNNNNNNNNNNNNNNNNNNNNNNNNNNCUGAUUUUGGGUCCCGCUGCGAUCCGAACGUUUUAGAAAGCCCGAGGUCCGGUUACGGGGAACUCGUCGAAACUUGCAGUUUUGGUCUAUUCUGGCCAGUUUUGUAUGCUAUUACUCACUGAUUUUGGGUCCCGCUGUGAUCCGAAUGUUUCAGGAACCCCGGGGUCCAGUUAAGGGGAAAUCGUGAAAACUCGCAGUUAUGCCUAUUCCCCAGUUUUGUAUGCUAUUACUCACUGAUUUUGGUUCCCGCUGGGAUCUGAACAUUUCGGGAACCCGUGGUCCGAUUACGGGGAACUCGUCGAAACUCGCAGUUUUGGUCUAUUCUGGCAAGUUUUGUAUGCUAUUACUCACUGAUUUUGGGCCCCGCUGCGAUCCGAACGUUUCGAGAACCCCCGGGUCCGGUUACGUGGAACUCGUGAAAACUCGCCGUUUUGGCCUAUUCCCGCCAUUUUUGUAUGCUAUUAUUCAUUGAUUUUGGGUCCCGUUGUGAUCCGAACGUUUCRGUAGCYMSUUUGGUCCGGUUACGGGGAAAUCGUCAAAAAUCGCUUUUUUGGCCUAUUGUGGCUAGUUUUUCUAUGCUAUUAGUCACUGAUUUUUGGUCCCGCUGCGAUCCGAACGAUUCGGGAACCCCAGGAUCCGGUUACAUGGAACUCGUAGAAAACGACCCAGUUUUGGCCUUAUUGUGGCAAGUGUUGUAUGCUAUUACUCACUGAUUUUGGGUCCCGCUGAGAUCCGAACGUUUCGGGAAUCCCGAUGUCCGGUUACGGGGAACUUGUCAAAAUAACAGUUUUAGCCUAUUCUGUCCACGUUUGUAUGCUAUUAGUAUUUAGUUCCUCAUGCGAUCCGAACGUUCGGGAACCCCGGGGUUCGGUUAAAGAGAACUCGUCAAAACUCGCUAGUUUUGGCUUAUUACGACCAGUUUUCUAUGCUACUAGUCACUGAUUUUGGGUCCCNNNNNNNNNNNNNNNNNNNNNNNNNNNNNNNNNNNNNNNNNNNNNNNNNNNNNNNNNNNNNNNNNNNNNNNNNNNNNNNNNNNNNNNNNNNNNNNNNNNNCAGAGUAGCCUUAAAUAUUCAGAUCAUAGCGGGACCCAAAAUCAGUGACUAAUAGCAUAGAAAACUAGUCGUAMUAGRCCAAAACUGCGAGUUUCGACGAGAUCCCCGUAAUCGGACCACGGGUUCCCAAAACGUUCGGAUCGCAGCGGGAACCAAAAUCAGUGAGUAAUAGCAUACAAAACUGGCCAGAAUAUGCCAAAUCUGCGAGUUUCACGAUUUCCCCUUAACCGGACCCCGGGKYUCCUGAAACGUUUGGAUCGCAGCACGACCCAAAAUCAAUGACUAAUAGCAUACAAAACUGGCCAGAAUAGACCAAAACUUUGAAUUUUGAUGAAUUCCCCGUAACCGGACCCCAUGGUUCCCGAAAGGUUCGUAUCGCAGCAGGAAACAAAAUCAGUGAGUAAUAGCAUAGAAAACUGGUCGUAAUAGUCCAAAAUUGCGAGUUUUGACGAGACGUAGACGAAGCAGACAGACGGAGGCGAGCAGUCGCGUGAUCGCUCCCCAAAACCUAAUCGCCCCUCUCCCGUACAGGAACCGGAGAGCGAGGUUUCGGAGGCCUGCUCUCCCGUCGACCGUGUACGCGGUAAACGGGACGGAGUCGCCGGCGGCNNNNNNNNNNNNNNNNNNNNNNNNNNNNNNNNNNNNNNNNNNNNNNNNNNNNNNNNNNNNNNNNNNNNNNNNNNNNNNNNNNNNNNNNNNNNNNNNNNNNCUAUCAUGUGGUGAUGCACUCCUUUUUGGAAACCCAAGGUACGCAAAUACCGGCCGGCCGGGAAAAGCGACGAUAGGAUGCGACGCAACCGGUGGAGAGUGGCGACGACGAUGGUGCGCGCAUCCAUCAUGGAUGGUUGCUAGCUAGUGCUACCACAUCCAUCGAUCCAUCCCUUUAAUUUGUCGGCCUCUCCAUCGACCGGCUCUGCUCUCGCUUUUGGGAUGAGAUUUUGCUGCCUGCUUAAUCCCUCUCCAUCUCCUCAGGUAUUUUUUGGACCAUGCAUCCAAAGAGAAGAAGAGUAUUCUCGUGUCACCCGAAAGCGUCGACAUUACAGCUAGCUGCUGAUUCAGAUUGACGCUACUCCUCCUCUUGGUUCAUUAUCACAUGCACGCGUGCAUGGUGGGGUUCGGAGUUAAGUAAACACGGAUACCUGGGGACCGUUCAAUACACUAUUCAGCUCACAGCGGGGAGAUCUAGCGAUCGAGCAUAAAGCUGAUCAACAUGUGCGAGCACAAACACUAGCUGAUCUGCAUGCUCCAAAUAACAGCUGAUCAUCACAGACGCUCCAGCAAGCUAAUAAAGCACGCACGCACGUACGCUAGCUAGAGAUCGAUAAGGUGACACAUUNNNNNNNNNNNNNNNNNNNNNNNNNNNNNNNNNNNNNNNNNNNNNNNNNNNNNNNNNNNNNNNNNNNNNNNNNNNNNNNNNNNNNNNNNNNNNNNNNNNNAGUCACACGAUUACGUGCUACGGAACGAGUAAAGAGACUUACCGGUAACGAGAUUGAACAAGGUAUAGGUAUACCGACGAUCGAAUCUCGGGCAAGUUCUAUACCGACAGACAAAGGGAAUCGUAUACGGGAUUGAUUGAAUCCUUGACAUCGUGGUUCAUCCGAUGAGAUCAUCAUGGAGCUAGUGGGAGCCACCAUGGGUAUCCAGACCCCGCUGAUGGUUACUGGCCAGAGAGGUGUCUCGGUCAUGUCUGCCUGUCUCCCGAACCCGUAGGGUCUACACACUUAAGGUUCGAUGACGCUAGGGUUAUAGGGAAUUGUUGUACGAGGUUAUCGAAAUUUGUUCGGAGUCCCAGAUGAGAUCCCGGACGUCAUGAGGAGCUCCGGAAUGGUCCGGAGGUAAAGAUUGAUAUAUAGGACGGAUGGUUUCGGACACCGGAAGUGUUUCGGGCAUCACCGGUAACGUANNNNNNNNNNAAAAUUUGUUCGGAGUCCCGGAUGAGAUCCCGGACGUCAUGAGGAGCUCCGGAAUGGUCCGGAGGUAAAUAUUGAUAUAUAGGGCGGAUGGUUUCGGACACCGGAAGUGUUUCGGGCAUCACCGGUAACGUACCAGGACCACCGGGACCACCGGAGGUGGUCCCGGGGGACCACCGAAGGGGGGUGACGACCCCGGGAGGCUAGAUGGGCUAAGUGGGGUUGGGAACCAGCCCCUAAGUGGGCUGGUGCGCCCCCCACCCAGCCCAUGUGCACCAGAAAANNNNNNNNNNNNNNNNNNNNNNNNNNNNNAUAAGUGGGGAAGGGAACCAGCUCCUAAGUGGGCUGGUGCGCCCCCCACCCAGCCCAUGUGCACCAGAAAAAGGGGGAAGGGGGGGAACCCAAACUUAGGUGGGCCUUAGGCCCACCAGAGGGGUGCGCCACCCCUCCUCCUUGCCCUGGCCGCCACACCCCCCAUCUGGGAGGGCUGCCGCACCCCCUAGGGUGGGAACCCUAGGGGUGGCACCCCCUCUCCNNNNNNNNNNNNNNNNNNNNNNNNNNNNNNNNNNNNNNNNNNNNNNNNNNNNNNNNNNNNNNNNNNNNNNNNNNNNNNNNNNNNNNNNNNNNNNNNNNNNGGGGGGGGGGGGGUCUUAUUCCUUUUCAGUUAAAUCAUUAGCCACCAUUCAAUUUUAUGUCUGGGGUCCGCACCUAGUUCUCCCAAUAUUGUUGUUUUAACACUUUAUGAGUAAACAUUUGAGCAUUGGGGACACACUCCACACAUCUCGAUGAGUAGAGUUAUAGUUGUUUUCACACUUAGCAUCUAGCAUCAUGUUAGUUAAGGCUUUUAAUUGGGAGCUAAAGAUUUCUCUCUUCUUUCAUUUCUUCAAGAUUCUCUACCAUGUCUGUUUACACCAUGAAUUAAAGUGCUACUCAAAUUAGAUUUUUUUUCUCACUUGAGUAAAUCAAUGAUAUACAUAAGCUGUGAUUAUUGUAAUGUUUCCACACUUUGAUGUCUCUAUUAAUGGUCUUAUUAGCAAUCUUCACCCUAAGUGCCUGCUUACACCUUAUGGAUGUUGAUGAUUUAAUAGACAAAGCACUACAAUAGUAAAAACACAUUUGAUGAAUAUAUAACUUACAUAUAACUAAACCCACCUCCACCCACCCCUACAUCGCACACACAUACAAACACAUACUCCAUACCUACCAUAUGUUGCCAAUAUGUUGGUCAUUGUGCCAGGUUCUUCUCAUGCUCGGGACGUCUUUGGAUCAUACGUAAAAUCCUCUAUCUCACCUAAGACCCAACCGUCACAUAUAAGAGAUAGCUUAUGUCAUUACGUAUGCCCUUAUAUAUAUAUAUGUCAUGACCAUACACAAACAUGUCGUUUUCCAUUUAUCGUUCUAUGUCGAUACCUAGUGGUUUUGACACGCGCACAUGCAUACUAUGAUUGCUCACGCAUGCCUUUAUUGCGAUAUGGACGGUUAGAAUUCGAUUUUCCCAACAAGUUCUUCGUCUUUCUACCGUCCGGUUAAUCUAUUUUUCUUUCUAUUUUAACCGGUAAUUUUUCACCAACGAGAUUAUGACAUUAGUUCAGCAACCACAAAGCCUGACGCCGUGUGUCAACUGGUCUCGCAUCCUUUUACAAUACAACCCAUUCGUUCUAAUAGAGUAUUUUGUGAACCUUGUCAUAUAUUUAAGAAAAUAGUUGUUGCAAAAAAAAAAGUUACUCGAGUCCAUACUUUCCAUUUUAAAACAAAAAUAGACUGGUACAUAGUGAUAUAUUCCUAUGGGAAAUAAAUAGUUAUAAUUAAGUUGAUGUCUCCACAACAUUUACAUGACAUAAAAUGAACAGCAUGUCACAGGAUUUCAUUCUUUUAAGGCCUUCCACCGUGCGUCGUGCCCGGCAUUUACUUAUUAUGCCAUCCCAGUUUGUGGUUGCUGAAUUGUGUUUCUACGUGCUGAUUUCAUUGUACGUUUGUAGGAAAAACAGACAUAAAGAUAGGCAGAAAAGAGAUACACAAGCAAUGAAAUACAAAAAAAAAAGAAUAAAUAAAGUGGAGUGAGUGUCUUAACACACCGCGAUGCCAACGCAGCCUUAGAUGACCGGCCGCAUGCACCUACAUAUGUACCCAAGCCCAAGUAACAAAACAAACUUGUUUGGUGGCCGCUUCCUGCGAUGACCACAUAAAAGAGGAUACGGCGCAUAAAAUAUCCACGAUAACGACGACGGUGCUCCAAGAUUCUACUCUUAUAUAUCCUCCUAAUCUUAUGUGCACCACGCGUGCGAUGCAUUGCCAGCAUUGACGCAAGCAUGGCCGCCGCAACGGCGCCGCGCCGCCGGGCGGCACGGCUGCCGCCAAGCGUUCGUCCGGGAAGCGUCCCACGUGUAUAUCCCUGCAUGCAUGCAGUACAGAUACACCGUACCUGCUAGCUUUCUUUUUUUUUGCCGCACGGUGGAUAUAUUACGGCCGAUCAAGUGUGUGUAUAUAGGAGUAUAUAUUUACGUACAUAUUUAUGUAAGUUAGCGUUUGCAGGUGAGGUGGUGGUGCCGUACAUGGGGCCGCGGCCGCCGGUGGGGAUCCACCGGUACGUGCUGGUGCUGUUCGAGCAGAAGACGCGCUUCCCCUACGUGGACGCGGCGUCGCCGGAGGACCGCGCCUACUUCAACACCCGCGCCUUCGCCGGCAACCACGAGCUCGGCCUCCCCGUCGCCGUCGUCUACUUCAACUCCCAGAAGGAGCCCUCCGGACACCGCCGCCGCUGAGGCAUGCAAUUAAUCACGCUGCAUGCCAAACAGAGCGAUGCAGACUUAUCCCGGUGAAGAAUAAUAGCCGAGCUUCCAUAUAUAUAUAUGCAUGCCAGCAACUGCUAUGUGUUGCUUUUAAUUACUGUUGUGUAAUCGCACUGUGCUUGUGUAUGCAUGCAUGAGAUGAGAUGCAUGGGAACCGAUAUAUUUUGGGGUUUUGCAGCAUAAGUCUGCAUGCCUCCGCGCGACGGGUGUUUCCCGCCGCGCCUUCUUGUAAUAAUAGUAGAAUGCAGCCGCGCUUAGUAAUUUCUUCUUGUUUGGUCCUCAAUUAUCAUGCAUACUACUCCCUCCGUUCUUAAAUAUAAAUCUUUUAAGAUAUUUCACUAGAAGUCUACAUACGGAACAAAAUGAGUGAAUCUAUACUUUAAAGUAUGUCUAUAUACAUCCGUAUGUAGUUCACUAAUGAAACUUCUUUAAAGACUUAUAUUUAGAAACGGAGGGAGUAUCAUGCAUAGUCUCUUACCGUCUUUGUACCUGCCAUCGUGUGUUACAGGGGCGGAACUACGUCCAAGGCAGCCCGGGCUACAGCCCGGGUCUUGGCCCGUGUAGUCCCUUUCUAUGCUCUGUAUGUUUCAUAAAAAUAUUAAGCUACAUGCAGUCUAGCCCGUGUCCUGGGUAAAAUUGAGUCGGGCUACGCAAAGCUGAAAGCCCAACAAAGCAGCGACGGAGAACGGACUCCCGAUCGGGCUAGCUAGGUCGAAAAAAAGGGUUUGCCCCUGAUCACGCUCGUUCCUCUUCCGAUCGGCACAAGUCACGGAACCGUCGCGCACAUCGUUCUAUCACACCGAGUCGCCGCCCAUCCAGUGCGGCACAGCGCGCGGCAGUGCCCAACGCCGCCGAGAUCCGCCCCACGACGGCCGCCGCCCGCCCGUGACACGCUCGCCGUCGCACCAGCGCUUGCCAUUGCCGGUUGUGUUUCUUUUUCUACGUUGGCUCAUCAAGUCAUCAGCACCAGGCACCAGCGCUUGUCUUGUAAUUUCUUCAUGCCCGCUGGCGGUCGCACCAACGCUCGCCGUAGUACUCUGUAGCAGUUCUAGACUUCUAGUUUCUCUUUUUUUUUCAGUCCUCCAGAUUGCUCUUCUAGUUGGUAGUUUCUCUUUUUGUUCAGUUAACCAAAGAGACUGCUACAAGCCUACAACCUACAGUCUACGGACUACAUUUGGUUUAUACCGUCCACCAAAGAGACCGCCUCUUCUUAAACGUUCGUAGAACUGCUACAGCCUACAGAGUACUAACUACUAAGUACAUACUACAAUUAUGUAGUUAGCUAGCUGUUUCAGAAUUUUUACUAAUUUAAUUUGUUCUGCUUACACAGAAGAUGAAGGGGAAAAAAAGAUCAAAGCCAUGUUCAGCAAGACCGGUGUCGUCCUAUUUUCCGUCACUGUCACAACUUGCCAAUUCAAACCAACCUCGUGAGAGUGCUGCCGAAAAUUCUGAUACAAAUGUCGAUGAAAGUGGGACAAUUUUUGGACAUGGAGAAGCUAGUACAAUCCUGCAAAGUUCAACCACCGGUACAAGAUAAUCCUGAUCCUCACAAUGUUAUUAAUCCAGAACAUGAUAACAAUAGCAUAGAUGAAGAGAAUGCUAGUGUUGAGCUUAAUCCAGAUGACAUCGUGGCGGAUCCGGGCCUUCGCAAACCGAUUGAGGAGCUAGAUGUAAACAUCAGAGAUGCUGCUAGGAGAGAGUAUUUGGUAAUGGGUGCAUGCCAACCAAUUGGUCAUAAGUUUCCUGCAAAAUUAAUUGGAAGCCAGAUGCGGAGAUUUCAGGAUAAGUGGUUUAAAAGGUAUGAUUGGUUGGAAUAUAGUGUAGCAAAAGACGCUGCAUUUUNNNNNNNNNNUCUCUUUAAACAACCACGAGCAGAAAAUUUUGGUAUAGAAUCAUUUACGAAGGUUGGUUUUAGCUAUUCGAAGAAUGGAAUUGAAGCUUGUGAUCUUCAUGUUGGUAAGGAUAUGAAUAGUGCUCACAAUAAAGCUAGAAAAUAUUAUGACGCCUUUAGAAAUCAGCGGCAAGGUGUGGAUUAUGUGUUCGCAGCUGCCACCAAGAAGGACGAGGAAGAAUAUAAAGCUCGUGUUACAAUUAUGAUAGGCAUUGCAAAAAAAAUUCUAUUGCAAGCUCUUGCUUUUCGUGGGCAUGAUGAGUCUCGUAGCUCAAACAAUCAAGGUAAUUUUCUUGAGAUGCUGAAAUGGUAUAAAGGGAAGGAUGAAAAGGUUGCAAAAUUGCUUGACAAUGCUCCUGGAAACCGUCAAAUGAUCUCACCAACAAUACAAAAACAGAUUUGCAAAGCGUGUGCUGAAGUUACCACCAAAGCUAUUAUUGAUGACAUUGGGGAUAAAAAGUUUGCGGUACUUAUUGAUGAGGCACGGGAUGCAUCUAUUAAGGAACAAAUGGCCAUGGUUUUGAGGUUAGCCGCUACGACAUCUACAUUUCUUCUACUUGAGUGAAUCAAAAUUAUAAAGUAUGCUAAUUUUGUUUUUCUUUUAUGUAGGUAUGUCAACAAUGAGGGACAGGUGAUAGAAAGAUUUGUUGGUGUCAAGCAUGUUCCAGACACGACAUCUGCUUCACUGAGGAUAGCCGUGGACGGUAUGUUAAAAUCUCUUGGUUUAUCCAUCUCUAGUGUGAGAGGUCAAGGUUACGAUGGGGCAUCAAAUAUGAGAGGACAAUUUCAUGGCUUGCAAAGACGCAUAUUAGAUGAAAACCCAUAUGCCUUCUAUGUCCAUUGUUUUGCCCAUCAGUUGCAGCUAGUGGUUGUGUCUGUUGCCAAGUGUUGUUCCUCUGUCUUGGACUUCUUUAAUUAUGCCACCAUGAUUGUCAACACAGUUAAUGCUUCUUGUCAUAGAAAAGAUAAAUUGCUGCAAAGUCACCAUGAUGAGAUUGUGAACAAAAUUGAGACCGGAGAUAUCUUCACAGGAAGAGGAAAGAACCAAGAAACUAAUCUUGCAAGGCCAGGGGAUACUCAUUGGGGAUCUCAUCAUAAAACCUUAUGUCGUCUUGUUCACAUGUGGAAACCUGUCCUACAUGUAUUAGAGAAUUUGAGUGAUGAUGCCACUAAUGCAACACAGAAAACCACUGCUUCAGGUUUAUUGGGAAAAAUGGAAAGCUUUGAGUUUGUUUUUAUAAUGCACCUUAUGAUAAGAAUUCUUGGGAAGACUAAUGACUUAUCAACAUGCUUGCAAAAGAAAGAUUAAAACAUUGUUCGUGUUGUAGGGCUGAUAGGUACUACAUCGAAGGAAGUUGAGAAUAUGAGAAACACGGGUUGGAAUGAAAUUUUUGAACAAACAAAGGGCUUUUGUCUUGAGCAUAAAAUUGUUGUGCCAAAUAUGGAAAAUAAAAUACCAGCUAGAGGUCGUUCGAGGGGUCGUGGCAGCCAGUUAGUAACUUAUUAUGAUCAUUUCCAUUAUGAAAUAUUUAAUGUGGUGCUUGAUCAAAUUAUUGUUGAGAUGAAUAAUCGCUUUGCUGAAAGAUCUACUCAAUUAUUGAGGUGCAUAGCUUGUCUUGAUCCACGGAAUUCUUUUGCUAAUUUUGAUAUUGACAAGUUAGUUGAACUUGCAAGAAUGUAUGCGAUGACUUCUCCCCAUAUGAGUGUAUAGUCCUUCGGGACCAACUUGGCACAUUUAUUGUUGAUGCAAGAGAUGAUUCGGGCUUUGCAAAUUGUAUUGAUCUCGGGAACCUUGCUCUGAAGAUGGUUCAAACGGAGAGACACAUGACCUUUCCAUUGGUAUACCGUCUUAUUGAGUUUGCCUUGAUUUUGCCGGUUGCAACAGCUACAGUGGAAAGAGCAUUCUCAGACAUGAAGAUUAUUAAGACAGAUUUGAGGAACAAGAUGAAUGACGGCUGGAUGAAUCAUAGUAUGUUAUGCUAUAUUGAGCGAGAUAUAUUUGCAAAUAUUGAAGAUGAAAAGAUUUUGGAGCAUUUCCAAAGUAUGAGGUCGCGCAAAAGACAAAUACCCCGUUCAGCUAGUGGUACGUUACUUUCUUAGCAAUACAAUUAAUGUAUGUAUUCAUCCAUUACUUCUUUUUGAUUAAUUUUCUUAUCUUUGAUGUAGGUUAUGGUUCUUCUCCGGUGAUUGAUGAGGAAAUGGUGGGCUAAAGAUAAGAGAAAAGUUUCAUUUUGUAGGUAUUAAAAUGUGUCCUAAUUAUGCGAUUAUGGAACAAUAUAUUUUUUGUGCUUUUCUAGUGUCAUUUGGUUAAAAACUGGACAUACUUUCACUUCAGAAGUUUAAUUAUGCAUUUUAGUUUGGUUUGACUUAUAUAUUCUGAUAUGAAUAGAAGAUUAGAAGGUAUUUUUUGGGUAGUUUUUGUCCAUCACAACUUAGCCCCGGUCUUUGCCAAUUUCUGAGUCCGCCACUGGUGUGUUAAUUUUCUUUCGAUUUCUGAGAUCUCUAGAUACAUACUUCCUCUUUACCUAAAUACUUAUACUCCCUCCGUUCCUAAAUAUAAGUCUUUUUAGAGAUUCUACUAGAAGACUACAUACGUAUGUAUAUAGACAUACUUUAGAGUGUAUAUUCACAUAUUUUGCUUCGUAUGUAGUCACCUAGUGGAAUCUCUUAAAAGACUUAUAUUUAGGAACGGAGGGAGUACUUGGGAAGAACUACUUUUUUUAACAUAGUACAGACACAAGUCCUCAUAUACACACGCAUACACUCAUCCCAUAAACACGCACACACACAUCCUAUCCCUAUGAGCACCUUUAAUUUUUCUCCAACUACAAGUAUUUAGAUACAAAGGAAGUAGUAAAUAUGCACCCACUUUGCAUGAUCGCUCCCUCCGUUUAUAAUACCUGUAGUGGUCUUAGUUAGCGGAGGGACUACAUGCCAAUUUUUCUUUCUUUCUUAUUUUGUUUUACUUUCAGGUGGGGCCAACAGAAAUAAGGUCCCAAAAAUCUACGAAAUUUCAGGACUUUUUCACCCGAAAUUAGCAAACGAAUUUGGUAAGGGUAUCUUGGUGCACGUAGCUUCCCCUUGCGGAGGGAGAAAGAGCCCGGGCACUUUGGAUGUAUAGUACACNNNNNNNNNNNNNNNNNNNNNNNNNNNNNNNNNNNNNNNNNNNNNNNNNNNNNNNNNNNNNNNNNNNNNNNNNNNNNNNNNNNNNNNNNNNNNNNNNNNNUCAAAUACGCAUAAAACAACGUCGAACCUUAAGUGUGCAGACCCUGCGGGUUCGAGAACUAUGUAGACAUGACCCGAGAGACUCCUCGGUCAAUAUCCAAUAGUGGGACCUGGAUGCCCAUAUUGGAUCCUGCAUAUUCUAUGAAGAACUUAUCAUUUGAACCUCAUUGUCAAGGAUUCAUAUAAUCCCGUAUGACAUUCCCUUUGUCCUUCGGUAUGUUACUUGCCCGAGAUUCGAUCGUUAGUAUCCGCAUACCUAUUUCAGUCUCGUUUACCGGCAAGUCUGUUUACUCGUUCCGUAAUACAAGAUCCCGUAACUUACACUAAGUCACAUUGCUUGCAAGGCUUGUGUGUGAUGUUGUAUUACCGAGUGGGCCCUGAGAUACCUCUCCGUCACACGGAGUGACAAAUCCCAGUCUUGAUCCAUACUAACUCAACUAACACCUUCGGAGAUACCUGUAGAGCAUCUUUAUAGUCACCCAGUUACGUUGCAACGUUUGAUACACACCAAGUAUUCCUCCAGUGUCAGUGAGUUAUAUGAUCUCAUGGUCAUAGGAACAAAUACUUGACACGCAGAAAACAGUAGCAACAAAAUGACACGAUCAACAUGCUACGUCUAUUAGUUUGGGUCUAGUCCAUCACGUGAUUCUCCUAAUGACAUGAUCCAGUUAUCAAGCAACAACACCUUGUACAUAAUCAGAAGACACUGACUAUCUUUGAUCAACUGGCUAGCCAACUAGAGGCUUGCUAGGGACAGUGUUUUGUCUAUGUAUCCACACAUGUAAAUGAGUCUUCAUUCAAUACAAUUAUAGCAUGGAUAAUAAACGAUUAUCUUGAUACAGGAAUUAUAAUAAUAACUAUAUUUAUUAUUGCCUCUAGGGCAUAAUUGCAACACUUAGGUACUGUAGCAAACUUAAAUUCUACUUAUGUUGAUGUUGGGUUACAGUAUUUUCAAUCUUCCAUGGCUAAUACCCCCCGAUACUAUCCAUAGUUUCAUCAAAAUAAGCAACCAACACAACAAAAAACAGAAUCUGUUAACACCAGGCCAGUCUGUAGCAAUCUGUAUACUUUGUAUACUUCUGCUACUUCACAAAUUCUGAAAAAUUUCGAAAGUCUGAAGAAUUUGCGUAGCAAUCAGCAGAAAAAAGAAUCAACUCAAAAUAUCUUACAGAAUAAAAAUGAAAAUUCUUUUCGCGAGCAAAAAGUUUCUGUCUUUUCCAGCAUGACCAAACGAUCAUCCCCAAGACUAAUCAUAACGGUUUUGCUUGGCACAAAUGCAAAAAGAAACACAAAAACAUAAUCAUAACAGAAUUAUGAAAGUGUGGAAAACACAAGACAGAAAUAAAAAGCUAAAUUCAUUGGGUUGCCUCCCAACAAACGCUAUUGUUUAACGCCCUUUGCUAGGCAUUGAUAAAUCAAUGAUGCUCACACAAAAUAUAAGAAUUGAAGCACAACGAGAGCAUCAUAAAGCAUGUGAAAAUCACAUCUAAGUCUGACAUACUUCCUAUGCAUAGGCAUUUUAUAGGAAAACAGAUUGUCAAGACAACCAAUAGUUGACAUAUGCAAGGAAGAAGAAAGAGACAAUAGCAAUCUUAACAUAACAAGAGGUGAUUUAGUGAUAUGAAAGUUUCUACCACAUACUUUCCUCUCUCAUAAUAAUUACAUGUGGGAUCAUAUUCGAAUUCAACAAUGUAACUAUCACAUAGGAUAUUAUUUUCAUGAUCCACAUGCAUGCAAAGUUGUCGCUCUUCAAAAAUAGUGGGAUUAUCAUCAACUAAAGUCGUGACUUCUCCAAACCCACUUUCAAUAAUAUUGCAAAUAUUAUAUUCAUCAUGAGGCUUAAACAAAUUUUCAAGAUCAUAAGAAAAAUCAUUGCCCCACUCAUAAUCAUUGCAACAAGUAGUGGACAUAGCAAAACUAGCAUCCCCAAGCUUAGGGUUUUGCAUAUUCUUAGCAUGAUUGUCACUAAUAGAAUUUAUAGUGAAACCAUUGCAAUCAUGAUUUUCAUCCAAGGAGCCCUCGUGAAUCUCUUCAUAAAUUUAUUCCUCACAGUUUUCAGAUUCACGCAUCUCAAGCAAAACUCCAUAAAGAUAGUCAAGUGCACUCAACUCACUAGCAAUUGGUUCCACAUAAGUGGAUCUCUUAAAAAGAUUAGCAACUUGGGUGAGGAUCCAUGUUAAUAGAUUUUCAGCAAGCGAAGAUGCAAGCAUAUUGAAGGCACAUAGCACUCAAGCAAAGGAAAGUCAAGCGGGAAAAAAGGGCGAACAAAAAAGGCAAAUGAAAAAAGGAAAAGGAGAAAGGAAAAUGAAAACGGCAAAUGUGAAGUGGGGGAGAGGAAAACGAGAGGCAACUGGCAAAAAAAGUAAAUGCAAGAGAUGAGUUUGUGAGACCUACUUGGAUAGAUCUCUCCUUCCCCGGCAACGGCGCCAGAAAUACUUCUGCUACUGCAACAAAAGACCUUCCAACGGCGCCAGAAACAAGCAUGCUGACGGGAGGCUAUUCUUAUCUUGAUACUCCUCAGGAACGGCACCAAGAAUCCUUCUGCUACGGCUACGCCUUUAGGGACUUCCUAGGAAAAUAUGCAAAGGAUCCCCCCUUGGCCUUGGAGGCUUACGUUGGUGUUCCCUCGAAGCGGAAAGGGUGAUGUAGCACAGCGGUGGUAAGUAUUUCCCUCAGUUUUGAGAACCAAGGUAUCGAUCCAGUGAAGGAAUAACACAAGUACCUCACAAACAAAAAAGAGCUUGCUCCCAACGCUAUGAAGGGGUUGUCAAUCCCUUAUAGAUUGUUUGCCAAGUGAGAACUGAAAGCAACAAAGAAACAAAGCAAAGUAAAAGCGAAAGUGGAAACGAUAGGUGUGAAUAGAUUAUAUCUAUGACAAUGAUUAUAUCUAUAGGCAUCACGUCCAAAACAAGUAGACCGAUACUUUCUGCAUCUACUACUAUUACUCCACAUGUCGAUCGCCAUCCAGCAUGCAUCCAGUGUAUUAAGUUCAUGAGAACAGAGUAACGCCUUAAGCAAGAUGACAUGAUGUAGAUGGACAAUCUCAUAUCUACGAUAAAAGCCCAUCUUGUUACCCUUGAUGGCAACUACACGAUGUGUGCCUUGCUGCCCCUACUGUCACUAGGAAAGGUCACCACACGGUAAGAACCCAAAACCAAGCACUUCUCCCAUUGCAAGAAUCAUAGAUCUAGUUGGCCAAACAAAACCCUUGAUGAAGAAGCCCUCCAACUUCAAGGUCUUCUCCGGCAGGGCACCGGGAAGGGUCUCCAGAUGAGAUCUCGCGGAAACGGAAGCUUGCGGCGGCAGAAAAGUAUUUUCGUGGAUCCUGUGAUUUUUUCUGGAUUUUUAGGGAAUAUAUAGGCCAAAGACCUAGGGCAGGGGAGCGCCACGGGGGCCACAAGCUUGGUUGUCGCGCCCUCCCCCUUAGCCGCGGCAACAGGGCUUGUGGGCCCCCUGUGGGCCCACUUGCUUGGCCCUCAAUCUUCUUCCGUUCUGGAAAAAUUCAUUUCGGGGAUUUUAUUCCGUUUGGACACCGUUCCAAAAUCAGAUCUGAAAAGAGUCAAAAACACAGAAAAAACAGGAACUGGCACUUGGCACUGAGUUAAUAAGUUAGUCCCAAAAAAGAUAUAAAAGGUAAACAAAACAUCCAAAGUUGACAAGAUAACAGCGUGAAACCAUAAAAAAUUAUAGAUACGUUUGAGACGUAUCACCGGACCUCGGGGUUCCCGAAACUUACGGAUCGCAGGAGGACCCGAAAUCAGUGACUAAUAUCAUACAAACUGGCCAGAAUAGGCAAAAACUGCUAGUUUGGAUAAGUUCCCCGUAACCGGACCUCGGGGUUCCAAAGACGUUCGAAUCGCACGAGGGCCCAAAAUCGGUGAGUAAUAGCAUACAAACUUGGCCAGAAUAGGCCAAAACUACGAGUUUUGAUGAGUUCCACAUAAUCGUACCCCGGGGUUCCCGAAACGUUCCGAUCGCAGCGGGACCCAAAAUCAGUGAGUAAUAGCAUACAAAACUCGCCAGAAUAAGCCAAAACUGUGAGUUUUGACGAGUUCCCCAUAACCUGACCCCGGGGUUCCCGAAACAGUUGGGGAAGCGGGACCCACAAUCAUUGACUAAUAGCAUAGAAAACUGGCCACAGUAGGUCAAAACUGUGAUUUUAGACGAGUUCCCCAUAAGAGGACCUCGGGGUUCCCGAAACGUUCGGAUCUCACGGGGACCCAAAAUCAAUGAGUAAAUAGCAUACAAAACAGGUGAGAUUAGGCCAAAACUGCGAGUUUUGACGAGUUCCGCAUUACCAGACCCCCGGGUUCCCAAAACGUUUGGAUCACAUCGGUACCCAAAAUCAGUGACUAAUAGGAUAGAAAACUGGCCGGAAUAGGCCAAAACUGCGAGUUUUGACGAGUUCCUCAUAACCACACACCGCGGUUCCCGAAACAUUCGAAUCGCAGAGGAUCCAAAAUCACUCACUAAUGGCAUUGAAAACUGGCCAUAAUAGGGCAAAAGUGCGAGUUUUGGAGAGUUCCCCAUAACCGGACCGAGGGAUUCCCGAAACAUUCAGAUCACAGCGGGAUCCAAAAUAAGUGACUAACAACAUACAAAACUAGCCACAAUAGGCCAAAAGUGUGAGUUUUGACGAGUUCCCCUUAACCAGACCCCGAGGUUCCCGAAACAUUUGGAUCAGUGCGGGGCCCAAAAUGAGUAACUAAUAGCAUACAAAACUGGGGGGAAUAGGCUAGAACUGCGAGUUUUGACGAGUUCCCCGUAACCGGACCCAAGGGUUCCCGAAACGUUCGGAUCACAGCGGAACCCACGAUGAGUGACUAAUAGCAUACAAAACUAGGGGGAAUAGGCCAGAACUACGAGUUUUGACGAGUUCCCCGUAACCGGACCCAAUGGUUCCCGAAACAUUCGGAUCACAUCGGGACCCAAAAUCAGUGACUAAUAGCAUACAAAACUAGCGGGAAUAGUCUAGAACUGUGAGUUUUGAUGAGUUCCCUGUAACCGGACCCCAAGGUUCUUGAAACAUUCGGAUCAUAGCGGGACCCAAAAUCAGUGAGUAAUAGCAUACAAAACUGGUUGGAGUAGGCCAAAACUGUGAUUUUGACGAGUUCCCCGUAACUGGACCCAAGGGUUCCCGAAACAUUGGGAUCACACCGAGAACCAAAAUAAGUGACUAAUAGCAUACAAAACUGGCAAAUUAGGCCAAAAGUGUGAGUUUUAACGAGUUCCAAGUAACCGGACCCCAAGGUUCCCGAAACGUUCGGAUCACAACGGGGCCCAAAAUCAAUGACUAAUAGCAUACAAAACUAGCCGGAAUAGGCCAAAACUGCGAGGUUUUACGAGUUCCCCGUAACCUGAUGCAAGGGUUUCCGAAACAUUCGGAUUACAUAGAGACCCAAAAUCAGUGACAAAUAGCAUACAAAACUUUCCAGAAUUGGCCAAAACUAUAGGUUUUGACGAGUUCCCCGUAACCGGACCCCGGGGUCCCAAAACAUUCUCAUCACAACGGGACCCGAAAUCAAUGACUAAUAGCAUUCAAAACUGGGCGGAAUAGGCCAAAACAGCGAGUUCUCACAAGUUCCCGGUAACCGGACCCCGGGGUUCUCGAAACGUUCGGAUCGCAGCAGGUCCCAAAAUCAGUGACUAAUAGCAUACAAAACUGGCCAGAAUAGGCCAAAACAGCGAGUUUUGACGAGUUCCCCGUAACCGGACCCCAGGGUCCCAAAACAAUCUCAUCACAACGGGACCCAAAAUCGGUGACUAAUAGCAUAGAAAACUGGCCGCAAUAGGACCCAGAAUCAGUGACUAAUAGCAUACAAACCUAGCCGUAAUAGGCCAAAACUGCGAGUUUUUAUGUGUUCCCCGUAAGAGGACGUUGGGGUUCCCGAAACGUUCGGAUCGCAGCGGGAUCCAAAAUCAGUGAGUAACAACAUACAAAACUAGCGAGAAUAGGCCAAAACUGUGAGUUUUGACGAGUUCCACGUAACCGGACCCCGGGGUUCCCGAAACGUUCGGAUCGUAGCGGGACCCAAAAUCAGUGAGUAAUAGCAUACAAAACUGGCUAGAAUAGUACAAAACUGCGAGUUUUGACGAGUUCCCCGUAACCGGACCUCGGGGUUCCAAAAACGUUCGGAUCGCAGGAGGGCCCUAAAUUGGUGAGUAAUAGCAUACAAACUUGGCCAGAAUAGGCCAAAACUACGAGCUUUGACGAGUUCCACAUAACCGGACCCCGGGGUUCCCGAAACGUUCGGAUCGAAGCGGAACCCAAAAUCAAUGAGUAAUAGCAUACAAAACUGGCUAGAAUAAGCGAAAACAUUGAUUUUUGACGAGUUCCCCGUAACCUAACCCCGGAGUUCCCGAGAUGGUUGGGGAACAGCUGGACCCAAAAUCUUUGACUAAUACCAUAGAAAACUGGCCACACUAGGCCAAAACUGCGAGUUUUGAUGAGUUCCCCGUAAUAGGACCUCGCCGUUCCAGAAACGUUCGGAUCGCAGGGGGACCAAAAUCAAUGAGUAAAUAGCAUACAAAACUGGUGAGAAUAGGCCAAAACUGCGAGUUUUGAUGAGUUCCCCAUAACCAGACCCCGGGGUUCCUGAAACGUUCGGAUCGCAGCGGGAUCCAAAAUCAGUGACUAAUAUGAUAGAAAACUGGCGGGAAUAGGCCAGAACUGUGAGUUUUGACUAGUUCCCUCUAACCGGACCGCAAGGUUCCAAAACUUUCGGAUCACAGCAGGACCUAAAAUUAGUGAGCAAUAGCAUAUAAAACUCUCGGGAAUAGGUCAAAACUGCAAUUUUGACGAGUUCCCCGUAACCGGACCCAAGGGUUCCAGAAACAUUUGGAUCACAUCUGGACCCAAAAUAAGUGACUAUUGGCAUACAAUACUAGCCACAAUAGGCCAAAAGUGCGAGUUUUGACGAGUUCCCCAUAACCGGACCCCGAGGUUCCGAAAUGUUUGGAUCACGGCGGGAUCCAAAAUGAGUGACUAAUAACAUACAAAACUGCGAGUUUUGACGAGUCCCCCGUAACCGGAUCCAAUGGUCCUGAAACAUUCGGAUCACAUCGGGACCCAAAAUCAGUGACUAAUAGCAUACAAAACUGGCGGGAAUAGGCCAGAAAUGUGAGUUUUGACGAGUUCCCUGUAACCAGACCCCAAGGUUCCCGAAACGUUAUGAUCAUAGCGGGACCCAAAAUCAGUGAGUAAUAGCNNNNNNNNNNNNNNNNNNNNNNNNNNNNNNNNNNNNNNNNNNNNNNNNNNNNNNNNNNNNNNNNNNNNNNNNNNNNNNNNNNNNNNNNNNNNNNNNNNNNGGGAGAGGAUCCACUUACACUAGCUCAAGUCCGAUCAUCACGUGAGUUGAGCAUAGUUUCAGUGGUAAGCAUCCCUAUGCUAAUCAUAUCAUCUAUACGAUUCAUGAUUGACCUUUCGGUCUCAUGUGUUCUGAGGCCAUGUCUGCACAUGCUAGGCUCGUCAAGCUUAACCCGAGUGUUCCGCGUGCGCAACUGUUUUGCACCCGUUGUAUGUGAACGUUGAGUCUGUCACACCCGAUCAUCACGUGGUGUCUCGAAACGACGAACUGUAGCAACGGUGCACAGUCGGGGAGAACACAAUUUCUUCUUGAAAUUUUAGUGAGAGAUCACCUCAUAAUGCUACCGUCGUUCUAAGCAAAAUAAGGUGCAUAAAAUGAUUAACAUCACAUGCAAUUCAUAAGUGACAUGAUAUGGCCAUCAUCACGUGCUCCUUGAUCUCCAUCACCAAAGCACCGACACGAUCUUCUUGUCACCGGCGCCACACCAUGAUCUCCAUCAAUGUGUCGCCAUCGGGGUUGUCGUGCUACUCAUGCUAUUACUACUAAAGCUACAUCCUAGCAAAAUAGUAAACGCAUCUGCAAGCACAAAUGUUAGUAUAAAGACAACCCUAUGGCUCCUGCCGGUUGCCGUACCAUCGACGUGCAAGUCGAUAUUAUCUAUUACAACAUGAUCAUCUCAUACAUCCAAUAUAUCACAUCACAUCACAAGCAUACCUGCAAAAACAAGUUAGACGUCCUCUAAUUUUGUUGUUGCAUGUUUUACGUGGUGACCACGGGUAUCUAGUAGGAUCGCAUCUUACUUACGCAAACACCACAACGGAGAUAUAUGAGUUGCUAUUUAACCUCAUCCAAUGACCUCCUCGGUCAAAUCCGAUUCAACUAAAGUUGGAGAAACCGACACUUGCCAGUCAUCUUUGAGCAACGGGGUUACUCGUAGCGAUGAAACCAGUCUCUCGUAAGCGUACGAGUAAUGUCGGUCCAAGCCGCUUCAAUCCAACAAUACCGCGGAAUCAAGAAAAGACUAAGGAGGGCAGCAAAAUGCACAUCACCGCCCAAAAAAACUUUUGUGUUCUACUCGAGAAGACAUUUACGCAUGAACCUAGCUCAUGAUGCCACUGUUGGGUAACGUCGCAUGGGAAACAAAAAAUUUCCUACGCGCACGAAGACCUAUCAUGGUGAUGUCCAUCUACGAGAGGGGAUGAGUGAUCUACGUACCCUUGUAGACCGUACAACAGAAGCGUUAGUGAACACGGUUGAUGUAGUGGAACGUCCUCACGUCCCUCGAUCCGCCCCGCGAACAAUCCCGCGAUCAGUCCCACGAUCUAGUACCGAACAGACGGCACCUCCGCGUUCAACACACGUACAGCUCGACGAUGAUCUCGGCCUUCUUGAUCCAGCAAGAGAGACGGAGAGGUAGAAGACUUCUCCGGCAGCGUGACGGCGCUCCGGAGGUUGGUGAUGACCUUGUCUCAGCAGGGCUCCGCCCGAGCUCCGUAGAAACGCGAUCUAGAGGAAAAACCGUGGAGGUAUGUGGUCGGGCUGCCGUGGAAAAGUCGUCUCAAAUCAGCCCUGAAACCUCCGUAUAUAUAGGUGGGAGAGAGGGGACCUUGCCUUGGGGCUCAAGGAGCCCCAAGGGGGUCGGCCGAGCCAAGGGGGGAAGGUAUCCCCCCCAAACCGAGUUGGACUUGGUUUGGUGGGUGGGAGUCCUUCCUUCCCUUCCCACCUCCUCUUUUUUUUUCUCUUUGAUUUUUCUUCCAAUGCGCAUAGGGCCCCUUUUGGGCUGUCCCACCAGCCCACUAAGGGCUGGUGCGCCACCCUCAAGGCCUAUGGGCUUCCCCGGGGUGGGUUGCCACCCCCCCCCCCGGUCGAACUCCCGGAACCCAUUCGUCAUUCCCGGUACAUUCCCGGUAACUCCGAAAACCUUCCAGUAAUCAAAUGAGGUCAUCCUAUAUAUCAAUCUUCGUUUCCGGACCAUUCCGGAAACCCUCGUGACGUCUGUGAUCUCAUCCGGGACUCCGAACAACAUUCGGUAACCAACCAUAUAACUCAAAUACGCAUAAAACAACGUCGAACCUUAAGUGUGCAGACCCUGCGGGUUCGAGAACUAUGUAGACAUGACCCGAGAGACUCCUCGGUCAAUAUCCAAUAGUGGGACCUGGAUGCCCAUAUUGGAUCCUGCAUAUUCUAUGAAGAACUUAUCAUUUGAACCUCAUUGUCAAGGAUUCAUAUAAUCCCGUAUGACAUUCCCUUUGUCCUUCGGUAUGUUACUUGCCCGAGAUUCGAUCGUUAGUAUCCGCAUACCUAUUUCAGUCUCGUUUACCGGCAAGUCUGUUUACUCGUUCCGUAAUACAAGAUCCCGUAACUUACACUAAGUCACAUUGCUUGCAAGGCUUGUGUGUGAUGUUGUAUUACCGAGUGGGCCCUGAGAUACCUCUCCGUCACACGGAGUGACAAAUCCCAGUCUUGAUCCAUACUAACUCAACUAACACCUUCGGAGAUACCUGUAGAGCAUCUUUAUAGUCACCCAGUUACGUUGCAACGUUUGAUACACACCAAGUAUUCCUCCAGUGUCAGUGAGUUAUAUGAUCUCAUGGUCAUAGGAACAAAUACUUGACACGCAGAAAACAGUAGCAACAAAAUGACACGAUCAACAUGCUACGUCUAUUAGUUUGGGUCUAGUCCAUCACGUGAUUCUCCUAAUGACAUGAUCCAGUUAUCAAGCAACAACACCUUGUACAUAAUCAGAAGACACUGACUAUCUUUGAUCAACUGGCUAGCCAACUAGAGGCUUGCUAGGGACAGUGUUUUGUCUAUGUAUCCACACAUGUAAAUGAGUCUUCAUUCAAUACAAUUAUAGCAUGGAUAAUAAACGAUUAUCUUGAUACAGGAAUUAUAAUAAUAACUAUAUUUAUUAUUGCCUCUAGGGCAUAAUUGCAACACUUAGGUACUGUAGCAAACUUAAAUUCUACUUAUGUUGAUGUUGGGUUACAGUAUUUUCAAUCUUCCAUGGCUAAUACCCCCCGAUACUAUCCAUAGUUUCAUCAAAAUAAGCAACCAACACAACAAAAAACAGAAUCUGUUAACACCAGGCCAGUCUGUAGCAAUCUGUAUACUUUGUAUACUUCUGCUACUUCACAAAUUCUGAAAAAUUUCGAAAGUCUGAAGAAUUUGCGUAGCAAUCAGCAGAAAAAAGAAUCAACUCAAAAUAUCUUACAGAAUAAAAAUGAAAAUUCUUUUCGCGAGCAAAAAGUUUCUGUCUUUUCCAGCAUGACCAAACGAUCAUCCCCAAGACUAAUCAUAACGGUUUUGCUUGGCACAAAUGCAAAAAGAAACACAAAAACAUAAUCAUAACAGAAUUAUGAAAGUGUGGAAAACACAAGACAGAAAUAAAAAGCUAAAUUCAUUGGGUUGCCUCCCAACAAACGCUAUUGUUUAACGCCCUUUGCUAGGCAUUGAUAAAUCAAUGAUGCUCACACAAAAUAUAAGAAUUGAAGCACAACGAGAGCAUCAUAAAGCAUGUGAAAAUCACAUCUAAGUCUGACAUACUUCCUAUGCAUAGGCAUUUUAUAGGAAAACAGAUUGUCAAGACAACCAAUAGUUGACAUAUGCAAGGAAGAAGAAAGAGACAAUAGCAAUCUUAACAUAACAAGAGGUGAUUUAGUGAUAUGAAAGUUUCUACCACAUACUUUCCUCUCUCAUAAUAAUUACAUGUGGGAUCAUAUUCGAAUUCAACAAUGUAACUAUCACAUAGGAUAUUAUUUUCAUGAUCCACAUGCAUGCAAAGUUGUCGCUCUUCAAAAAUAGUGGGAUUAUCAUCAACUAAAGUCGUGACUUCUCCAAACCCACUUUCAAUAAUAUUGCAAAUAUUAUAUUCAUCAUGAGGCUUAAACAAAUUUUCAAGAUCAUAAGAAAAAUCAUUGCCCCACUCAUAAUCAUUGCAACAAGUAGUGGACAUAGCAAAACUAGCAUCCCCAAGCUUAGGGUUUUGCAUAUUCUUAGCAUGAUUGUCACUAAUAGAAUUUAUAGUGAAACCAUUGCAAUCAUGAUUUUCAUCCAAGGAGCCCUCGUGAAUCUCUUCAUAAAUUUAUUCCUCACAGUUUUCAGAUUCACGCAUCUCAAGCAAAACUCCAUAAAGAUAGUCAAGUGCACUCAACUCACUAGCAAUUGGUUCCACAUAAGUGGAUCUCUUAAAAAGAUUAGCAACUUGGGUGAGGAUCCAUGUUAAUAGAUUUUCAGCAAGCGAAGAUGCAAGCAUAUUGAAGGCACAUAGCACUCAAGCAAAGGAAAGUCAAGCGGGAAAAAAGGGCGAACAAAAAAGGCAAAUGAAAAAAGGAAAAGGAGAAAGGAAAAUGAAAACGGCAAAUGUGAAGUGGGGGAGAGGAAAACGAGAGGCAACUGGCAAAAAAAGUAAAUGCAAGAGAUGAGUUUGUGAGACCUACUUGGAUAGAUCUCUCCUUCCCCGGCAACGGCGCCAGAAAUACUUCUGCUACUGCAACAAAAGACCUUCCAACGGCGCCAGAAACAAGCAUGCUGACGGGAGGCUAUUCUUAUCUUGAUACUCCUCAGGAACGGCACCAAGAAUCCUUCUGCUACGGCUACGCCUUUAGGGACUUCCUAGGAAAAUAUGCAAAGGAUCCCCCCUUGGCCUUGGAGGCUUACGUUGGUGUUCCCUCGAAGCGGAAAGGGUGAUGUAGCACAGCGGUGGUAAGUAUUUCCCUCAGUUUUGAGAACCAAGGUAUCGAUCCAGUGAAGGAAUAACACAAGUACCUCACAAACAAAAAAGAGCUUGCUCCCAACGCUAUGAAGGGGUUGUCAAUCCCUUAUAGAUUGUUUGCCAAGUGAGAACUGAAAGCAACAAAGAAACAAAGCAAAGUAAAAGCGAAAGUGGAAACGAUAGGUGUGAAUAGAUUAUAUCUAUGACAAUGAUUAUAUCUAUAGGCAUCACGUCCAAAACAAGUAGACCGAUACUUUCUGCAUCUACUACUAUUACUCCACAUGUCGAUCGCCAUCCAGCAUGCAUCCAGUGUAUUAAGUUCAUGAGAACAGAGUAACGCCUUAAGCAAGAUGACAUGAUGUAGAUGGACAAUCUCAUAUCUACGAUAAAAGCCCAUCUUGUUACCCUUGAUGGCAACUACACGAUGUGUGCCUUGCUGCCCCUACUGUCACUAGGAAAGGUCACCACACGGUAAGAACCCAAAACCAAGCACUUCUCCCAUUGCAAGAAUCAUAGAUCUAGUUGGCCAAACAAAACCCUUGAUGAAGAAGCCCUCCAACUUCAAGGUCUUCUCCGGCAGGGCACCGGGAAGGGUCUCCAGAUGAGAUCUCGCGGAAACGGAAGCUUGCGGCGGCAGAAAAGUAUUUUCGUGGAUCCUGUGAUUUUUUCUGGAUUUUUAGGGAAUAUAUAGGCCAAAGACCUAGGGCAGGGGAGCGCCACGGGGGCCACAAGCUUGGUUGUCGCGCCCUCCCCCUUAGCCGCGGCAACAGGGCUUGUGGGCCCCCUGUGGGCCCACUUGCUUGGCCCUCAAUCUUCUUCCGUUCUGGAAAAAUUCAUUUCGGGGAUUUUAUUCCGUUUGGACACCGUUCCAAAAUCAGAUCUGAAAAGAGUCAAAAACACAGAAAAAACAGGAACUGGCACUUGGCACUGAGUUAAUAAGUUAGUCCCAAAAAAGAUAUAAAAGGUAAACAAAACAUCCAAAGUUGACAAGAUAACAGCGUGAAACCAUAAAAAAUUAUAGAUACGUUUGAGACGUAUCACCGGACCUCGGGGUUCCCGAAACUUACGGAUCGCAGGAGGACCCGAAAUCAGUGACUAAUAUCAUACAAACUGGCCAGAAUAGGCAAAAACUGCUAGUUUGGAUAAGUUCCCCGUAACCGGACCUCGGGGUUCCAAAGACGUUCGAAUCGCACGAGGGCCCAAAAUCGGUGAGUAAUAGCAUACAAACUUGGCCAGAAUAGGCCAAAACUACGAGUUUUGAUGAGUUCCACAUAAUCGUACCCCGGGGUUCCCGAAACGUUCCGAUCGCAGCGGGACCCAAAAUCAGUGAGUAAUAGCAUACAAAACUCGCCAGAAUAAGCCAAAACUGUGAGUUUUGACGAGUUCCCCAUAACCUGACCCCGGGGUUCCCGAAACAGUUGGGGAAGCGGGACCCACAAUCAUUGACUAAUAGCAUAGAAAACUGGCCACAGUAGGUCAAAACUGUGAUUUUAGACGAGUUCCCCAUAAGAGGACCUCGGGGUUCCCGAAACGUUCGGAUCUCACGGGGACCCAAAAUCAAUGAGUAAAUAGCAUACAAAACAGGUGAGAUUAGGCCAAAACUGCGAGUUUUGACGAGUUCCGCAUUACCAGACCCCCGGGUUCCCAAAACGUUUGGAUCACAUCGGUACCCAAAAUCAGUGACUAAUAGGAUAGAAAACUGGCCGGAAUAGGCCAAAACUGCGAGUUUUGACGAGUUCCUCAUAACCACACACCGCGGUUCCCGAAACAUUCGAAUCGCAGAGGAUCCAAAAUCACUCACUAAUGGCAUUGAAAACUGGCCAUAAUAGGGCAAAAGUGCGAGUUUUGGAGAGUUCCCCAUAACCGGACCGAGGGAUUCCCGAAACAUUCAGAUCACAGCGGGAUCCAAAAUAAGUGACUAACAACAUACAAAACUAGCCACAAUAGGCCAAAAGUGUGAGUUUUGACGAGUUCCCCUUAACCAGACCCCGAGGUUCCCGAAACAUUUGGAUCAGUGCGGGGCCCAAAAUGAGUAACUAAUAGCAUACAAAACUGGGGGGAAUAGGCUAGAACUGCGAGUUUUGACGAGUUCCCGUAACCGGACCCAAGGGUUCCCGAAACGUUCGGAUCACAGCGGGACCCAAAAUCAGUGAGUAAUAGCAUACGAAACUAGCCAGAAUAGACAAAAACUGUGAGUUUUGAUGAGUUACCCGUAACCGGACUCCGGGGUUCCCAAAACGUUCACACGCCGAAACGAAAAUCGGUGAGUAAUAGCAUACAAAACCGCCCGGAAUAGGCCAAAACUACGAGUUUUCACGAUUUCCCCUUAACAGGAGCUCGGCGUUCCCGAAACGUUCGGAUCGUAGCGGGUCCCAAAAUCAGUGAAUAAUAGCAUACAAAAUUGCCCGGAUUAGGCCAAAACUGCGAGUUUUCACGAUUUCNNNNNNNNNNNNNNNNNNNNNNNNNNNNNNNNNNNNNNNNNNNNNNNNNNNNNNNNNNNNNNNNNNNNNNNNNNNNNNNNNNNNNNNNNNNNNNNNNNNNNNNNNNNNNNNNNNNNNNNNNNNNNNNNNNNNNNNNNNNNNNNNNNNNNNNNNNNNNNNNNNNNNNNNNNNNNNNNNNNNNNNNNNNNNNNNNNNNNNNNNNNNNNNNNNNNNNNNNNNNNNNNNNNNNNNNNNNNNNNNNNNNNNNNNNNNNNNNNNNNNNNNNNNNNNNNNNNNNNNNNNNNNNNNNNNNNNNNNNNNNNNNNNNNNNNNNNNNNNNNNNNNNNNNNNNNNNNNNNNNNNNNNNNNNNNNNNNNNNNNNNNNNNNNNNNNNNNNNNNNNNNNNNNNNNNNNNNNNNNNNNNNNNNNNNNNNNNNNNNNNNNNNNNNNNNNNNNNNNNNNNNNNNNNNNNNNNNNNNNNNNNNNNNNNNNNNNNNNNNNNNNNNNNNNNNNNNNNNNNNNNNNNNNNNNNNNNNNNNNNNNNNNNNNNNNNNNNNNNNNNNNNNNNNNNNNNNNNNNNNNNNNNNNNNNNNNNNNNNNNNNNNNNNNNNNNNNNNNNNNNNNNNNNNNNNNNNNNNNNNNNNNNNNNNNNNNNNNNNNNNNNNNNNNNNNNNNNNNNNNNNNNNNNNNNNNNNNNNNNNNNNNNNNNNNNNNNNNNNNNNNNNNNNNNNNNNNNNNNNNNNNNNNNNNNNNNNNNNNNNNNNNNNNNNNNNNNNNNNNNNNNNNNNNNNNNNNNNNNNNNNNNNNNNNNNNNNNNNNNNNNNNNNNNNNNNNNNNNNNNNNNNNNNNNNNNNNNNNNNNNNNNNNNNNNNNNNNNNNNNNNNNNNNNNNNNNNNNNNNNNNNNNNNNNNNNNNNNNNNNNNNNNNNNNNNNNNNNNNNNNNNNNNNNNNNNNNNNNNNNNNNNNNNNNNNNNNNNNNNNNNNNNNNNNNNNNNNNNNNNAUACAAAACUGGUCGGAAUAGGCCAAAACUGCGAUUUUGACGAGUUCCCUGUAACCGGACCCAAGGGCUCCCGAAACAUUUGGAUGACAUCGGGACCCAAAAACAGUUACUAUUAGCAUACAAAACUGACAUGAAUAGGGUGAAACUGCAAGUUUUGACGAGUUCCCCGUAAAUGGACCCCGAGGUUCCCGAAACGCUCGGAUCACAGCGGGACCCAAAAUCAGUGACUUACAAAACUGGCCAGAAUAGGCCAAAACUGGGAGGUUUUACGAGUUCCCCGUAACCGGACCCAAGGGUUCCUGAAACAUUCGGUUCACAUCGAGACCCAAAAUCAGUGACUAAUAGCAUACAAAACUUGCCGGAAUAGGCCAAAACUAUGAGUUUUGACGAGUUCCCCGUAACCAGACCCCAGGGUUCCCGAAACAUUCAGAUCACAACGGGCCCACAAAUCAGUGACUAAUGGCAUACGAAACUCGCCGAAAUAGGCCCAAACUGGGAGUUUUCACGAGUUCCCCGUAACCGGACCCCGGGGUUCCCGAAACGUUCGAAUCGCUGCAGGACUCAAAAUCAGUGACUAAUAGCAUGCAAAACUAGCCAGAAUAGGCCAAAACUGUGAAAUUUGCGAGUUCCAUGUAACCGGACCCCGGGGUCCCAAAACGAUCUGAUCACAACGGGACCCAAAAUCAGUGACUAAUAGCAUAGAAAAUUGGCCAAAAUAGGCCAAAACUGUGAGUUUUGGCGAGUUCUCCGUAACCGGACCCCGGGGUUUCCAGAAUGUUUGGAUCGCAGGAGGACCCAGAAUCAGUGACUAAUAACAUACAAAACUAGUGAAAAUAGACAAGGCAUGCAAACAAGAGGGAGACUUUACAAGGAUCGCAUUGGGCUUGUUGAGGCUAUUGGCCCAUAAACAACAACAAACACUAUACUUCUUUGGCUUCAGGAAGGCCACAGUGCUUAUAGGCCACUCCUAGCAUCGGGUCGCCGGCCCAAAGUUUCGGUCGGUCGCACCCUAACCGUCCGAUGCAGUGUAUCGGGUCCGUCCGAUCUACACCUCAAACCCCAACUCUUUCUUCUUCCUCCCGAUCAGAGCUUUCAGGUAAAUGUAGCACGUGUCGGUCGCCAUUGACGUUCCUUUCUGGCAUCGAGGUCGCUUGUUCCGAAUGUGGCAUGCCCUCAGGUAGCCGUGGCUCUUGUCGGCUCCGCCGCAAGCAACUUCUAUUGGCAAAGGUCGUAGUUCCGGCAAACGGAGUGAUGCCCCGUCCAACUUGUAGCAACAUCUUUCAUCAUCGACGAACACAUCUCAGACGAAAGCCAUCCAGUAAUAGGUCACUCGGUUUCAUCACUGUUGCAACUCCGCAAUGGAGCCAUCACAGUAGUCGGUUACUUAAAAAGAAUGGUUGAAGCAUUUCAAAAAUAGGGUUGAAGCUUUUCAUGCCAAUGAUUGCAACUUCUUUGGAUGUGUACUCACGGGUUGAAGCUUUUUACGAAGAUGAUUGAAGCUUUUCAUAAAGCGGGACGAUGCUUUCCAAUUCAAUAGUUGAUGCUUCCCAAUUCAGUGGAUGCAAAUUUUUCGUGCUCGAUGGCCCGGCAAGUAGCUUCUUUGUGUUGUCGGUUGAAGCUUUCCCGCCGGUGGUUGUAGCUUCCCGGGCCACUAGUUGCAACUUUUGUUGCGGGAGUGCGCCAGCGACCAUCAUCUUCGUCUUUCUUUUGAAACUGUUUAUGUUGCCAGUUGAAGCUAUCUGGGGUACCGGUUGUAGCAUUUCGGGCUGGUGGUUGCAACUUCCCUCACGCGUCAGUUGAAGCCCCCACCUAGCUGGUUUCGCCAAAACUAAAUGACAGUUCUAACAUUUACCACCGUUGGUUCUAGCUCUGCAACAUGUUGGUUGUAGUUUGCGUUGCAUGGUCAUAACUUACAAUACCGACGAUGGUCCUCCCGUUGCAGUAGCUCUGUCGGCCACAAAACUAAGAGCUAUUCUAGUCGUAGCUUCGACUAUCGAUGGUCGCGCUGCUUGGCUGCUGGUCGUAGCAUCCGGUGCUCGGUUCCGUUGCGCACGACCAUGGCGAAAAGCGUGGCCAUGGAAAUGUUGGAAAUAUGCCCUAGAGGCAAUAAUAAAAUGGUUAUUAUCAUAUUUCCUUGUUCAUGAUAAUCGUCUAUCGUUCAUGCUAUAAUUGUAUUAACAGGAAACAGUAAUACAUGUGUGAAUGAAUAGAUCACAAUGUGUCCCUAGCAAGCCUCUAGUUGGCUAGCUCGUUAGUCAAUAGAUGAUCAUGGUUUCCUGAUCAUGGGCAUUAGAUGUCAUUGAUAACGGGAUCACAUCAUUGGGAGAAUGAUGUGGUGGACAAGACCCAAUCCUAAGCCUAGCACUAGAUCGUAUUGUUCGUAUGCUAAUGCUUUUCUAAUGUCAAGUAUCUUUUCCUUCGACCGUGAGAUUGUGCAACUCCCGGAUACCGUAGGAGUGCUUUGGGUGUAUCAAACGUCACAACGUAACUGGGUGACUAUAAAGGUGCACUACGGGUACCUCCGAAAGUGUCUGUUGGGUUGGCACGAAUCGAGAUCGGGAUUUGUCACUCCGUGUGACGGAGAGGUAUCUCUGGGCCCACUCGGUAGAACAUCAUCAUGAGCUCAAUGUGACUAAGGAGUUAGUCACACGAUUACGUGCUACGGAACGAGUAAAGAGACUUACCGGUAACGAGAUUGAACAAGGUAUAGGUAUACCGACGAUCGAAUCUCGGGCAAGUUCUAUACCGACAGACAAAGGGAAUCGUAUACGGGAUUGAUUGAAUCCUUGACAUCGUGGUUCAUCCGAUGAGAUCAUCAUGGAGCUAGUGGGAGCCACCAUGGGUAUCCAGACCCCGCUGAUGGUUACUGGCCAGAGAGGUGUCUCGGUCAUGUCUGCCUGUCUCCCGAACCCGUAGGGUCUACACACUUAAGGUUCGAUGACGCUAGGGUUAUAGGGAAUUGUUGUACGAGGUUAUCAAAAUUUGUUCGGAGUCCCGGAUGAGAUCCCGGACGUCAUGAGGAGCUCCGGAAUGGUCCGGAGGUAAAUAUUGAUAUAUAGGGCGGAUGGUUUCGGACACCGGAAGUGUUUCGGGCAUCACCGGUAACGUACCGGGACCACCGGGACCACCGGAGGUGGUCCCGGGGGACCACCGAAGGGGGGUGACGACCCCGGGAGGCUAGAUGGGAUAAGUGGGGAAGGGAACCAGCUCCUAAGUGGGCUGGUGCGCCCCCCACCCAGCCCAUGUGCACCAGAAAAAGGGGGAAGGGGGGGAACCCAAACUUAGGUGGGCCUUAGGCCCACCAGAGGGGUGCGCCACCCCUCCUCCUUGCCCUGGCCGCCACACCCCCCAUCUGGGAGGGCUGCCGCACCCCCUAGGGUGGGAACCCUAGGGGUGGCACCCCCUCUCCGCUUCCCCUAUAUAUAGUGGGCACUUUUGGCCUUUGGAGGACACGGUUUUCCCUCUCCCUCGGCGCAGCCCUCCACUUCUUCCUCCUCCUCUCUGCCGGCGCUUGGCGAAGCCCUGUCGGGAGACCUCGUCUCUCCACCAACACCACGCCGUCGUGUUGCUGGUCUUCUUCCCCAACCUCUCCCUCCUCCUUGCUGGAUCAAGGUGCGGGAGACGUCACCGGGCUGCACGUGUGUUGAACGCGGAGGUGCCGUUGUUCGGCACUAGAUCGGAAUCGAUGCGAGUACGACUCCAUCAACCGCGUUCUAGCAACGCUUCCGCUUAGCGAUCUUCAAAGGUACGAAGAUGCUCUUACCCCUCUCUCGUUGCUGGUCUCUCCAUAGGAAGAUCUGAACAUGCGUAGGAAAAAAUUUGAAUUUAUGCUACGUUACCCAACAGUGGCAUCCGAGCCAGGUUUUCUAUGCGUAGAUUCUAUGCACGAGUAGAACACAAAAGUUGUGGGCGAUGGUUUGUCAAUUUGCUUGCCGUUACUAGUCUUAUUCUUUUCCAGCGGUAUUGUGGGAUGAAGCGGCCCGGACCGACCUUACACGUACGCUUACGUGAGACUGGUUCCACCGACAGACAUGCACAUCGUGCAUAAAGGUGGCUAGCGGGUGUCUGUCUCUCCUACUCUAGUCGGAUUGGAUUUGAUGAAAAGGGUCCUUAUGAAGGGUAAAUAGCUUUGGCAUAUCAUCGUUGUGGCUGUCACGUAGGUAAGAAGGCGUUCUUGCUAGAAACCCAAAUCAGCCACGUAAAACUUGGAACAACAAUUAGAGGACGUCUAACUUGUUUUUGCAGGGUUUGACAUGUGAUGUGAUAUGGCCAAAGUUGUGAUGUUGCAUGUAUGAUGUAUGAGAUGAUCAUGUUAUUGUAAUAGGUUUCACGACUUGCAUGUCGAUGAGUAUGACAACCGGCAGGAGCCAUAGGAGUUGUCUUAAUUUAUUGUAUGAGAUGCAACGCCAUGUACUUACUAUUUUACUUCAUUGCUAACGGUUAGCCAUAGUAGUAGUGAUAGUAGUAGUUGGCGUGACGAAUUCACGGAGACACGAUGAUGGAGAUCAUGGUGUCAUGCCGGUGACGAUGAUGAUCAUGCGAUGCCUGAAGAUGGAGAUCGAAAGAGCAAAGAUGAUAAUGGCCAUAUCAUGUCACUAUAUGAUUGCAUUGUGAUGUUUAUCAUGUUUUACAUCUUAUUGCUUAAAACGACGGUAGCAUAAUAAGAUGGUCCCUCUUAAAAUUUCGAGAGCGUAUUCCCCUAAGUGUGCACCGUUGCGAAGGUUCGUUGUCUCGAAGCACCACAUGAUCAUCGGGUGUGAUAGAUUCUAAUGUUCGCAUACAACGGGUGUAAGCCAGAUUUACACACGCGAAACACUUAGGUUGACUCGACGAGCUUAGCAUGUACAGACAUGACCUCGAAUACAAGAGACCGAAAGGUCGAACAUGAGUCGUAUGGUUGAAUACGAUCAGCAUGAAGUUGCUCACCAUGGUGACUAGUCCGUCUCACGUGAUGAUCGGACACGGGUUAGUCAACAUGGAUCAUGUAUCACUUAGAUGACUAGAGGGAUGUCGAUUUGAGUGGGAGUUCAACUUAAUUUGAUUAAAUGAACUUAAUUGUCAUGAACUUAGUCUAAAAGUUGUCUUUACAAAUAUUGUAGAUGUCCAACGUCAACCUCAAGUUCAAUGCAUUCCUAGAGAAAAACAAGCUGAAAGAUGAUGGUAGCAACUAUGCGGACUGGGUUCGCAACCUGAAGCUCAUCCUUGAAGAAGCUAAAAAGGCUUAUGUUCUUAAUGCGCCGCUAGGUGACCCUCCCACUCCCGCAGCAGCCCAGGACAUUCUAAACGUCUGGCAAGCGCGGAGUGAUGACUACUCUCUGGUCAGGUGUGGCAUGUUAUACAGUUUAGAAACGGGGCUCCAAAGACGUUUUGAGCAACACGGGGCAUAUGAGAUGUUCCAAGAGCUGAAGCUAGUUUUUCAAGCUCAUGCCCGUGUCGAGAGAUAUGAAGUCUCCGACAAGUUCUUCAGCUGUAAGAUGGAGGAGAACAAUUCUGUCAGUGAGCACAUACUCAAAAUGUCUGGGUUACACGGUCGUCCGACUUCACUUGGAGUCGAACUUCCGGAUGAUGCUAUCAUUGACAGAAUCCUCCAGUCUCUCCCACCAAGCUACAAAGGCUUUGUGCUUAACUACAACAUGCAAGGGAUGGAGAAAACCAUUCCCGAGUUGUACUCGAUGCUCAAGUCUGCAGAAGUAGAAAUCAAGAAGGAGCAUCAAGUGUUGAUGGUCAACAAGACCACUAGUUUCAAGAAAGGCAGGGGUAAGAAGAACUUCAAGAAAGACGGCAAAGCUGUUGCCGCGCCCGGUAAGCCAGAUGCCGGGAAGAAGAAAAAGAACGGACCCAAGCCUCAGACUGAGUGCUUCUACUGCAAGGGAAAAGGUCACUCGAAGCGGAACUGCCCCAAAUACUUAGCGGACAAGAAGGCCGGCAACGUUAAAGGUAUAUGUGAUAUACAUGUUAUUGAUGUAUACCUUACCAGCGCUCGUAGUAGCUCCUGGGUAUUUGAUACCGGUGCUGUUGCUCACAUUUGCAACUCAAAGCAGGAACUGCGGAAUAAGCGGAGACUGGCCAAGGACGAGGUGACGAUGCGCGUCGGGAAUGGUUCAAAGGUCGAUGUGAUCGCCGUCGGCACGCUACCUCUACAUCUACCGUCGGGAUUAGUUUUAAACCUUAAUAAUUGUUAUUUAGUACCAGCUUUAAGCAUGAACAUUGUAUCAGGGUCUUGCUUAAUGCGAGACGGCUACUCAUUUAAGUCAGAGAAUAAUGGUUGUUCUAUUUAUAUGAGUGAUAUGUUUUAUGGUCAUGCUCCGCUGGUGAAUGGUUUAUUCUUGAUGAAUCUCGAUCAUGAUGUUACACAUAUUCAUAGUGUGAGUACCAAAAGAUGCAAAGUUGAUAAUGAUAGUCCCACAUACUUGUGGCACUGCCGCCUUGGUCAUAUCGGCGUUAAGCGCAUGAAGAAGCUCCAUACUGAUGGACUGCUAGAGUCUCUUGACUUUGAAUCAUUUGACACAUGCGAACCGUGCCUCAUGGGCAAGAUGACUAAGACUCCAUUCUCAGGAAUAAUGGAGAGAGCCACCGACUUAUUGGAAAUAAUACAUACUGAUGUGUGUGGUCCAAUGAACGUUGAAGCUCGCGGUGGUUAUCGUUAUGUUCUCACUCUCACCGAUGAUUUGAGUAGGUAUGGGUAUAUCUACUUGAUGAAGCACAAAUCUGAGACGAUUGAAAAGUUCAAGGAAUUUCAGAAUGAGGUUGAGAAUCAACGUGACAGAAAAAUUAAAUGUCUACGAUCUGAUCGUGGAGGAGAAUAUUUGAGUCAUGAGUUUGGCACACACCUAAGGAAGUGUGGAAUCGUUUCACAACUAACGCCGCCUGGCACACCGCAGCGCAACGGAGUGUCUGAACGUCGUAAUCGCACCUUAUUAGAUAUGGUACGAUCUAUGAUGUCUCUCACCGACUUACCGCUAUCAUUUUGGGGAUACGCAUUAGAAACUGCAGCAUUCACUUUAAAUAGGGCACCGUCCAAAUCCGUUGAGACGACACCGUAUGAACUAUGGUUUGGCAAGAAAUCUAAGUUGUCGUUUCUUAAAGUUUGGGGCUGCGAUGCUUAUGUGAAGAAACUUCAACCAGAAAAGCUCGAACCCAAAGCGGAAAAAUGCGUAUUCAUAGGAUACCCUAAGGAAACUAUUGGGUAUACCUUCUAUCUUAGAUCCGAAGGUAAAACCUUUGUUGCCAAGAACGGAUCCUUUCUAGAGAAAGAGUUUCUUUCGAAAGAAGUAAGUGGGAGGAAGGUAGAACUUGAUGAGGUAAUUGCACCCCCUCUCGAACAGGAAAGUAGCGCAACGCAAGAAGUUGUUCAUGUGGUGCCUACACCGACUAAAGAGGAAGUUAAUGAUGAUGAUCAUGAAGCUUCGGAUCAAGUUACUACUGAACCGCGAAGGUCCACAAGGGUACGCUCCGCACCAAAGUGGUACGGCAACCCUGUGAUGGAAAUCAUGUUGUUAGACAACGGUGAACCUUCGAACUAUGAAGAAGCAAUGGCGGGCCCAGAUUCCAACAAAUGGCUUGAAGCCAUGAAAUCCGAGAUAGGAUCCAUGUAUGAGAACAAAGUAUGGACUUUGGUGGACUUGUCUGAUGACCGGCGAGCCAUAGAAAAUAAAUGGAUCUUCAAGAAGAAGACUGAUGCAAACGGUAAUGUAACCGUUUACAAAGCUCGACUUGUCGCAAAGGGUUUUUGACAAAUUCAAGGAGUUGACUACGAAGAGACUUUCUCUCCCGUAGCGAAGCUGAAAUCAGUCUGAAUCAUGUUAGCAAUUGCCGCCUUUUUAUGAUUAUGAAAUUUGGCAAAUGGACGUCAAAACAGCUUUCCUUAACGGGAAUCUUAAGGAAGAGCUGUAUAUGAUGCAACCAGAAGGUUUUGUCGAUCCUAAAGGUGCUAACAAAGUAUGCAAGCUCCAGCGCUCCAUCUAUGGGCUGGUGCAAGCAUCUCGGAGUUGGAACAUUCGCUUUAAUGAGGUGAUCAAAGCGUUUGGGUUCAUACAGGUUUACGGAGAAGCCUGUUUGUACAAGAAAGUGAGUGGGAGCUCUGUAGCUUUCCUCGUACUAUAUGUGGAUGACAUAUUAUUGAUGGGGAAUGAUAUAGAGAUGUUGGAGAGCAUAAAGGCCUAUUUGAACAUGAGUUUUUCAAUGAAGGACCUUGGAGAAGCUGCAUACAUAUUAGGCAUCAAGAUCUAUAGAGAUAGAUCGAGACGCCUCAUAGGUCUUUCGCAAAGUACAUACCUUGACAAGAUACUGAAGAAGUUCAAUAUGGAAAACUCAAAGAAAGGGUUCUUGCCAGUUUUGCAAGGUAUGAGAUUGAGUAAGACUCAGUCGCCGACCACGACAGCAGAUAGAGAGAAGAUGAGUUCUGUCCCCUACGCUUCAGCCGUGGGCUCUCUAAUGUAUGCCAUGUUGUGUACCAGACCUGAUAUAAACCUUGCGAUAAGCUUGGUAGGGAGGUACCAAAGUAAUCCCGGUGCGGAACACUGGACAGCGGUCAAGAAUAUCCUUAAGUACCUGAAAAGGACUAAGGAAAUGUUUCUCGUUUAUCGAGGUGACGAAGAGCUCGUCGUAAAGGGUUACGUCGACGCUAGCUUCGACACAGAUCCGGAUGACUCUAAGUCACAAACCGGAUACGUAUAUGUGUUGAAUGGUGGGGCAGUGAGCUGGUGCAGCAGCAAGCAAGAAGUCGUGGCAGCAUCUACAUGUGAAGCGGAGUACAUAGCUGCUUCAGAAGCGGCUCAUGAAGGAAUUUGGAUGAAGGAGCUCAUCACCGACCUUGGAGUGGUUCCAAGCGCGUCGGGUCCUAUGAAACUCUUCUGUGAUAACACUGGAGCCGUUGCCAUAGCCAAGGAGCCCAGGUUUCACCGGAAGACGAAGCACAUCAAGCGCGGCUACAACUCCAUCCAGGACCAUGUCCAGAGUGGAGUGAUAGAUAUUUGUAAAGUACACACGGAUCUGAAUAUUGCAGACCCGUUGACUAAACCUCUUCCACGAGCAAAACAUGAUCAACACCAUGAUGCUAUGGGUGUUCGAUACAUCACAAUGUAACUAGAUUAUUGACUCUAGUGCAAGUGGGAGACUGUUGGAAAUAUGCCCUAGAGGCAAUAAUAAAAUGGUUAUUAUCAUAUUUCCUUGUUCAUGAUAAUCGUCUAUCGUUCAUGCUAUAAUUGUAUUAACAGGAAACAAUAAUACAUGUGUGAAUGAAUAGAUCACAAUGUGUCCCUAGCAAGCCUCUAGUUGGCUAACUCGUUAGUCAAUAGAUGAUCAUGGUUUCCUGAUCAUGGGCAUUAGAUGUCAUUGAUAACGGGAUCACAUCAUUGGGAGAAUGAUGUGGUGGACAAGACCCAAUCUUAAGCCUAGCACUAGAUCGUAUUGUUCGUAUGCUAAUGCUUUUCUAAUGUCAAGUAUCUUUUCCUUCGACCGUGAGAUUGUGCAACUCCCGGAUACCGUAGGAGUGCUUUGGGUGUAUCAAACGUCACAACGUAACUGGGUGACUAUAAAGGUGCACUACGGGUACCUCCGAAAGUGUCUGUUGGGUUGGCACGAAUCGAGAUCGGGAUUUGUCACUCCGUGUGACGGAGAGGUAUCUCUGGGCCCACUCGGUAGAACAUCAUCAUGAGCUCAAUGUGACUAAGGAGUUAGUCACACGAUGACGUGCUACGGAACGAGUAAAGAGACUUACCGGUAACGAGAUUGAACAAGGUAUAGGUAUACCGACGAUCGAAUCUCGGGCAAGUUCUAUACCGACAGACAAAGGGAAUCGUAUACGGGAUUGAUUGAAUCCUUGACAUCGUGGUUCAUCCGAUGAGAUCAUCGUGGAGCUAGUGGGAGCCACCAUGGGUAUCCAGACCCCGCUGAUGGUUAUUGGCCAGAGAGGUGUCUCGGUCAUGUCUGCCUGUCUCCCGAACCCGUAGGGUCUACACACUUAAGGUUCGAUGACGCUAGGGUUAUAGGGAAUUGUUGUACGAGGUUAUCGAAAUUUGUUCGGAGUCCCAGAUGAGAUCCCGGACGUCAUGAGGAGCUCCGGAAUGGUCCGGAGGUAAAGAUUGAUAUAUAGGACGGAUGGUUUCGGACACCGGAAGUGUUUCGGGCAUCACCGGUAACGUACCAGGACCACCGGGACCACCGGAGGUGGUCCCGGGGGACCACCGAAGGGGGGUGACGACCCCGGGAGGCUAGAUGGGCUAAGUGGGGUUGGGAACCAGCCCCUAAGUGGGCUGGUGCGCCCCCCACCCAGCCCAUGUGCACCAGAAAAAGGGGGAAGGGGGGGAACCCUAACUUAGGUGGGCCUUAGGCCCACCAGAGGGGUGCGCCACCCCUCCUCCUUGCCCUGGCCGCCACACCCUCCAUCUGGGAGGGCUGCCGCACCCCCUAGGGUGGGAACCCUAGGGGUGGCACCCCCUCUCCCCUUCCCCUAUAUAUAGUGGGCACUUUUGGCCUUUGGAGGACACGGUUUUCCCUCUCCCUCGGCGCAGCCCUGCACUUCUUCCUCCUCCUCUCUGCCGGCGCUUGGCGAAGCCCUGCCGGGAGACCUCGUCUCUCCACCAACACCACGCCGUCGUGUUGCUGGUCUUCUUCCCCAACCUCUCCCUCCUCCUUGCUGGAUCAAGGUGCGGGAGACGUCACCGGGCUGCACGUGUGUUGAACGCGGAUGUGCCGUUGUUCGGCACUAGAUCGGAAUCGCUGCGAGUACGACUCCAUCAACCGCGUUCUAGCAACGCUUCCGCUUAGCGAUCUUCAAAGGUAUGAAGAUGCUCUUACCCCUCUCUCGUUGCUGGUCUCUCCAUAGGAAGAUCUGAACAUGCGUAGGAAAAAAUUUGAAUUUAUGCUACGUUACCCAACAGGAAACAGCACGACAGAGUGGCCCCGAAGGGCGCACGAACGACACAUGAGGCAGGAGCUGAGGCCGGUCUGGAUCCAAGGAGUUUGUUGUCUGGGAAAAUUUGUUGGUGUUAAAUUCGCGAGGAAGAAGGAUGUGGGCGUUUUGGGAAAGGAUAAAGGUGUACAUGUUGCCUUCGUGGCUACUUUCAUUUAAAGCGCCAGCAUGACGAAGUGACCGACCCGAGCGUUCCGCCAGCGCACCGCACGCGAACGCUUACCCAUGCUUAUAUGCCUAAAAACAAAGUGGGUAUGAGCUUUGCUACUUCAAAUGGUAAAUGGUUGGCAUACAAAUGUCUUUUUUCUAUUCUUUACUUGCGAUUUAGCAUACAAAUAUCAGUGUCGCAAAAACAGCAGCGCCUAGACUAUCGCGCUGAUCAACAUUGUUUCAAAUGCUUGAUGUAGAGGCAUGGGAGACCAUCAAGAUCCUGCACCAAGGUCAUGACCGUGUCAAGGAAGCACACCUUCAAUCCCUGAUGAGAAGCUGUGAGUGCCUGAAGAUGGAGGAAAGCGAGGCGGUUGAUCAGUUUGCCUCCCGUCUCUCGACCCUCGUCAAUGGCAUACGUGGCUAUGGUUCAACCCUAGAAGAAGUUGCAAUCGUCUGGCGAUUUUUGCGCGCCGCGCCGGCACCCUACAUCCAGAUCAUCACAUCGACCGAGCAAUGUCUCAAUCUAAAGACUCUCACGGUCGAGGAUCUCGUCGGAAGUUUCAAGGCUCAUGAUGAGAGAAUUUGUCUCAGUUUCAAUGAUGCGAAGGCGAGUGAGCACCUGAUACUGACAAAGGCGCAAUGGAUUACCCUGUCAAAAGAACAGUAGGGCGGAUCCACGAGCAGCAGCAAGAAAAAGGGGAAGGGGAAGCAGCGCUCAGCGAGAAAGAACUUCGCCGGCUCGGGUGACGAGGAUGCGUUUGCACCACCGAGGAGGAAGUUUGACAUCAGAAAAGUGAGAUGUCAUAAGUGUGGCCUCCUAGGUCACUUCAAGGCUGACUGCGAGGAAGCACCGAAGCAACAGACGCUCAUCGCCGAGGAAGGAGACGACGGGGAUAUGAUGCUGAUGUGCGAGCUAGUGGACGAAGAGGAUCCAGAUGAUCUUGGUCAGCUGGAAACGGGUCCGGUGAGUGCAUCCGUGCUAGUAAACCUAGGCGAAGGCGUGCCUGCAAACAAGGGGGAGACUUCACAAGGAUCGCAUCGGGCUUGUUCAGGCUAUUCGCCCCAUAAACAACACCAAUAGACACUGUAUUUCUUCGGCUUCAGGAAGGCCACAAUGCUUAUAGGCCACACCUAGCACCGCGGCACCGGCCGAAAGUUUCGGCCGGUCGCACCCCAACCGUCCGAUGCGGUUUAUCGGGUCCAUCCGAUCUGCACCUCAACCCCUAACUCUUUCUUCUUCCUCCCGAUCAGAGCUUUCAGGGAAAUGCAGCGCGUGUCUGUCACCAUUGACAUUCCUUUCUGACGUUAGAGUCGCUUGUUCCCAACGUGGUCUGCCCUCAAUUAGUCGUGGUUCUCGUUGGCUCGGCCGCAAGCAGCUCCUAUUGACAAAGGUCGCAGUUUCGGCGAACGGAGUGACGCCCGGUCCAACUUGUAGCAACGCCGUUCAUCGUCGACGGACACAUCUCCGACAAAAGCUAUCCAGUAGUCGGUCAGUCGGUUUUAUCACUGUUGCAGCUCCACAAUAAAGCCAUCGCGGUAGUCGGAUACAUAAAAAAAUGGUUGAAGCUUUUCAAAAAUAGGGUUGAAGCUUUUCAUGCCAAUGAUUGCAGCUUUUUUGUUAUGUACUCGCGGGUUGAAGCUUUUUAUAAAGCGGGGCGAUGCUUUUCAAUUCAAUAGUUGAUGCUUCCCAAUUCAGUGGAUACAACUUUUUUGUGCUCGAUGGCCCAGCGACUAGCUACUUUGUGUUUUCGGUUGAAGCUUUCCCGCCAGCGGUUGUAGCUUUCCGGGCCACCAGUUGCGGCUUUUGUUGCGGGAGUGCGCCGACGACCAUCAUGUUCGUCUUUCUUUUGAAACUCUUUAUGUUGCCGGUUGAAGCUAUCUGGGGUACCGGUUGUAGCAUUUUGCGUCGCUCGUUGCAACUUCCCUCACGCGUCGAUUGAAGCCCCCACCUAGCUGGUUCCGGCAAAACUAAAUGACAGUUGUAACAUUUUCCACGGUUGGUUCUAGCUCCGCAACAUGCUGGUGGUAGUUUGUGUUGUAUGGUCACAACUUACAACACCGAUGUUGGUCCUCCCCCCCGUAAUAGCUCCGCCGGCCACAAAACUAAGAGCUACUCUGGUCGCAGCUUUGGCUAUCGAUGAUCGCACCGCUUGGCUGCUGAUCGUAGCAUGUGGUGCUCGGUUCCGUUGCGCAUGGCCAUGGCAAAGAGCGUGGCCAUGGAAACGACACGGAAGCAUUGUCACGAGGGGCGCACGAACGACACAUGAGACAGGAGCUGAGGCCAGCCUGGAUCCAUGAAGUUUGCUAUCCGGGAAACUUUUUUGGUGUGAAAGUCGCAAUGAAGAUGAUGGUCGCGAGGAAGGAGUGGAUGCAUGCGUUUGGGGAAGGAUAAAGGCAUACAUGUUGCCUCCCUGGUGGCUAUUUUCAUCAAAGCGCCAGCACGACCGACCCGGGCAUCCCGCCAGCGCACCGCACACAAACGUUACCAUACUUAUAUGCCUAAAAAUAAAGUGGGUAUGAGCUUUGCUAGUUCAAAUGGUAAAGGGUUGGCAUACAAAUGUCUUUUUUCUUUUCUUUUUUUGCGAUUUAGCAUAUAAAUACCAGUGUCACAAAAACAGCAGCGUCUAGCCUAUCCCGCUGAUCAACUGUAGAAGUAUUUCAAAUGCUUGAUGUAGAGAUCAGAACCAGUAGUUAAUUAGUUGCCUCCUGGUAGCUUCGGAGCAAACAUGAAAGCCGUCGCUGGUAGCUUCCCAGCAAACUUCAAAGCCAGCUGGUAAUUCGCUAUAUUGUUUCCUUUCUCUUUUUCGUUCUUCUUCCAUGGUUUUUUUGUUUCCGUGUUUUACACUAACACCCCCCCCCCCCUCAGUGGUUUUCUUCUAUUUAUUCACUUAUUCUUCUUUUCCUUUUUGUUCUUUUUUCUAUGUUUUCAUAGAUUCAUUUAAAAAAAUAGGAGUUCACAAAAUUGUUUGCUAUUUCAAAAAGUAUCCACUUCUGCAAAAAAUUAUUGGACUUCAAGUUCUGUUUUAGUUAUUUUACAAUUUGUUCAUGUUUUAAAAUUUUCUUUGCAUUUCAAAAUACUGUUCACUCAUGAUUUUUAAUAAUCGUUCAAAGAAAAUAAAAAAUGUUUCGAAUUUCAAUUUUUUUCAGUUAUUUAAAUUUCUUCAUGUUUUAAUAAAUUGUUUUAGAUUAGAAGAUUGUUCUUCGGACUUGAAAAUUGAUUCACUAUUUUUGGUAACAACUCGAAAUUUUAAUUUUAAUCAUGUUUUUCAAAAUUAGUUCAUGUUUUAUUUUAUUUUCAUGUUUUAAAAAAAAUGUUCACCAUUUUCAAAAUGUUGACAAACUGGAAUAAGUCUUGACAUUUUCGAUAAAUUGUUAAUGGUUGUGAAUUUUAAUUUGCAAUUUUAAAAAAAAUCGGUUUAGCUUUUUCAAGUAUAUAUGUAUGUUCAGUUUUCUGAAAAUUUAAAAAUAUAUUCAAAACGCUCGGCUACAGUGACCUCUGAUUGGUGUGGCCCAUUUUUUCUCGCCCGGCCCUGUGCGUCCUCUCGUCCGUACAAGCCGGAUCAUCUUGGUAAUCGUUCGUGUCCAAACAGUAGGUAUGAUUUGAAAUAACGUCCCAUGUUGUCUUUCAUAUCCACAUAUUGAUUUGAGCUAUCCCUCAGAAGUCUUCCCUAGCUAGGCAAUCUCAUCUUGGGUUCCAUGUUUUCCUGCAUGGCCGAUCUAACACGUGCGUCAAGACAGGGGUGGGUGCGAGCAGAGGAAGGAAGGAACUGAUGAAAGCGAGAGCAAAUGCAGUCGACCGGGGUACGGUGGAAGGGAGUUAGGGCAAGGUUAUAAGGAAGCGGAGAACACCCCUUUUUAGGAAAAGGAGGAACGAAGCCCAUGAAAAGGUGGAAUCAUCGGAGGAGGCAGCAGUGAGAGUUCUCGAAGGAGAAGCUCAAGACAGAAGCGGAGAACACCCCUUUUUUGUGAAGCUGAUUAUUUUUAAGGAAGCCCGAAUAGUGGGGGGGGGGGGUUAGGGAGGAAAGGCGUGGCCGAAGAGAGGGUAGAGGGGAGGAAGGACUGCAAGAGGCUGGGAUGGAGGUAGAGGUAGAGGCAGAGGCAUGGCAUCAUUCUCAUCACCUGAAUCAUAAAGUUUAUCAUGUAUAUUCCAAUCACACUUAGCAUUCGACGAGCAUACAACCCAAUAGCCUCUUCUUCUUUAGAUUUUCAUCAUUAUCUAUUGGCUCAAAGUAUGUACCAUAUUUGAAAACUUCACAAGUUAGCAUUUCUUUGCUUUGUGUGUCCAUGAAGUUGUUAUGACUAGCAUUCUAAAAUUUCAGUACUUCAGUUUUUUUUUAUUUUCUAAUGCAAAAAAAACAACUAAUGAUAAAUAAACUGUAAACAAGUAAGGUAAAUUUAUAAGGAAGUAAAUUAAUGGAGUGUAGAACCUAUGAAGGGAGCAAAUAGCUCCCCAACAAAACAGUGUCAAAAAAAUUGUUGAUUGCUAUCUGAUUGUCUCUCUAGUUCCUCGCACUUAAAUAACUAUUUUUAAUAUAGUACAGACGCACACACUUAUAUAAACGCGCAUACACUCAACCUUAUGAACGCGCAUACGUAUACCUAUUCCUAUGAUCAUCUUCGAGAGACUGAGAUUUACGAAAACAUCUCCUCUCACUGAAUGCGCUGUCAGGAUCAAGGCUUCUCUCUCAGCUAGCAAUGGUGGUUUCUCUCGAGACACCAAGAAUAGGUCAAACUCUGAUGGUUUUGCGACGCAAAGAUACACGUCUUUUCUGGCGUUUUUCUGUUAUUCUUCAGAGAUCAGCUGAACGGCAUAUAUGCCUACACACACGAUCAGGCCAACGCCUUGACCGAGACUCACGCCAAACGAACCCCACUAUGCUCGAUCCUAAAUGCAAGGAACAUGCUGCAUGCGCUUAUCCAACGCGUCAUGCACACGGUUAUACUCCCUCCGUUCCUAAAUAUAAGUCUUUGUAGAGAUUUUAUUAGUGGACUACGUACGGAUGUAUAUAGACAUACUUUAAAGUAUAGAUUCAAUCAUUUUGCUCUGUAUGUAGAUCCUUAAUGAAAUCGCUUAAAAGACUUAUAUUUAAAAACGGAGGGAGUACAAAGUAAACGUGCAUGCGUGAUUAAAAGGAAAAACAAUAGACAGACUAAUUAAAACAAGAUUACACGCUGAGAUGCGCAUCGCCGAAAAUACUAUAAUAAAUUUAAGAAUAAUACGAGGAUUUAAAUUUAAAUUAUAAUAGAUUGAGGAUAACAUUGUCUCUCCAAUUAUCCAACCACAACCACAAUCACAAUCACAGAUUGGUUCGUCCACUUGAGUAGACUUGAAACUGGAGACGGGACACGAUGGUGACUGGACUUUGCAUGUCGUUCCAAGGCGCGGCCGUGCGUGACAAGUCAGCUUGACCACGCAAGUCAGGGCCGGGACGACUGCGGUUGACAGGUCGUCGCCCGCGUCCCCGCCGGCCGGAGACUCACGCUAGGUAGCAGACACGCAGUCAAUGGCGGGCACCACGUAGCUAGCUAGGAGAAGAGCAUGCAUGGAUGAUGAAUGAUAUCGAUCAUUUGUGGGUUGUGGCAUGCAUUUCUCCCAUUGCGUGGCACCUUGGUUUAUACCUGGCCAAACGGGCCGGCCCGGCACGGCACGGCCCGGCCCGUCAUAAUCGUGCCAGGCGCGGCCCGGCCCGCCCUGGCCCGAUUAACAUACGGGUCGUGCCGUGCCGGCCCGCGGCACGGUAGGCCCACGACAUGGCCAGGCCCGCCGGUCUCGCCCCUCUCCCGCGACUGCUCCUCCCUCGCCCGAAUUCGCUCCACGGUAGGCCCAUGACUGCUCCCGCCCGCCGGUCCCGCCCUCUCUCGCCCGAAUUCGCUCCCCCUGCCCCUUUUCCCGCUCGCUAGUCUUUUUCCCGCCGCACGCCCACCCCAAAUCCCGCUCGCGAGUCGCGUCCAGCCGCUCGCCAGCCUUUUUCCCGCCGCUCGCCCGCCCGCCCCAAAUCCCGCUCAGCCCGUGACGUGCUCCCGCUGGCCCGCUCCCCCCUCCCANGUCCCAACUCCCAACCGUACCCUGAUUGCAUGACAUGACAGCACACCCGGAAGCAAAUUACCCUCCUUGCACACGCGUUCAGGGAAACCUCCAUUUCUGGCCGGUGGCCUUGGUGGUGUAGCAAGCAGAAUCCAUUGAACCAUACCUAUCGUCCUUUGCUAUGCUGGCCUUGCAUCAGUGCAUUGCAUUACAGGAGCAACGCUACAAAUAUAUUGAGGCCCUGUUUGGAAUAGCGUAUUUUUAGAAAUACACCUGUAAAAUAUACGGACCUCUGUCCGUCGAUUUCAUUUCCCGUCCGGACGGAAAUCAUUGCUGACCAGUAUAAUACACAUGUAAGUUAAACAACUCCGUAUUACGAUACACUGAAUCCAAACGCGGCCUUACGGAUUUAUCUGGCAACAUCUGUUUGGAAAUCACAGGGACCAAAGGGAAGAGGACAAGUAGGUCCGUAGCUUUAAUUUGUGGCAAUUUUGCUAGUCCGCAAGUUUAGCAAUUUUGUCAUUGUUGUAGGCGUAGAGCUUACUAGCAAUUUUAACAGCCAGUCCGCAAGUUUAGCAAUUUUGACGGCAAGUAAGUUUGCCGUUUUUGACAGUCAGUCCAUAAAAGGAAACGUGUGCGUGUGGGGGGCACUCUCUUAAAUUGCUAGCCUGUACGUUUUCAUGCAUGGUGAUGAGGACAAAAUUGAAACGAGUAGUUUGCAUGUGAUGCAUGGUCAAUAAUGAUCUAGAGGCAUCUUGCGUGUGGAGCCUGACCAGAGGCAUGGCAUCAUUCUAAUCGUCACAUGUACUUCCUUCGUUCCUAAAUAUAAUUUUUUUAAUUUUUUUCUAAAAUACUUCAUAUCGGAUGUAUAUAGACAUAUUUUAAAAUAUGAGUAUAUAAUUACACUUGGAUUGUCAUGAUUGAAUGUUCUGAGUGCCUUUUUGGUCGAUUACGGCAUCAAGACAACCUCGGAUAAAGGAAUGCUCUACAUGGAUUGUCUUCGUCCCGUGGAAUUGGUCGAUUUUGAUAUAUGAAUUGUCCAAAUCCAAGGUCGUAUGGAACCUGCAGAGGUGAAACAGGUUCAGGUUAUGUUUUCAUUCAGGAAAUCCGAGUGAAAAGCUUAUCAUCCGAGUGAAAAUAUAUCUAUCCGAGUGAAGGCUUGAUGACCGAGUGAAAAUUUUCCGAAUACGAGUGGAACUUCGGUCAAGGAGUUCAGACACAUGAAUUCCGAGUGGAAAAAUUGCUGUCCGAGUGAAAAAUUUCACUCGACCGACUAAAAGGCUCUAAAUCCGAGUGAUUCAACCAGAAGGUAAAGACUGACCUAUAUGGUCGUCUAUAUAUCAUCUGAGGUAGUACACGGCCUACAGGGACACGACAACACUCGGGCAGUCCAGUCCGUUACAUGAUCGAGGCUGAUUCAAAGUUAAAAAUGACCUCGUGGAGUAUUUGAGAUGGCUUUAUUUGGGAAAGUGAUCAACAUACGGAUUGUUGGCCUCGUCAAGGCACACAAAAUUGGUGUUUGGAUUGUCUCCAUCAGAGGUCAUAUGUAGAUUCCACGGCCUAUGCAAGGAGCAAGACAGAAGAUCGGACUAGAUUUGGGUUGAAGCCGAAUUAGACUAGAACAUGAUUUGCUGUAAUUUUCUUGUAAGGAAAGCCUAGAUGAAUCAUUUGCUUGUACGAAAAGUCUAACGCCUCUUAUAUAUAUUGAAGAUGAUGACCGAUUGAAACAACACACAAUCAAAACAUCAAAUAUACUAUUUUUUCAUUUACGUUUUAUCUCUUCAUGGCAUUUUAUCUCUCGUUCUUGAUACCUGCCUGUGCCAAGUCCCAACCGUACCCUGAUUGAAAUUUUCAACACCUUGCUUUGCAUGACUUGACAGCACACCCGAAAGCAGUCACAUACUUACAUGGCGGGUGCAGCUGGGAGUAGACCCACGGAGCACACUAUCUUGUACAGUAUGAUCACUCUUUAUGAUUCGUAGACAUCUACAACAAUCGGUUGAAUGAUUGCAAACAGUUCCCGCCUAAUUGCAAGCUUCCAACGAUACAAUUUUUUUUUGCAAGCUUCCAAGUCGUCAUGGGUCGUCGGUCCUCGGUGCAAAUAUAUUUAAUCACUGUUCUGACAUCAUCUGGUUGGAAAUCACAAGGAUCAAAGGAAGGAUAAAAUCAUCGUUAUGACUUUUUUUAAUCUUUGUCACAAAGUGAACUCGACAUGAAAGUAUUUUACGAUCUGAUCCUUUUGACAACGUCAGAGACCGUGACGUUUAUGCUCCACAUGGAAACGCCGAGGUAGCUUGCGUUGCUGCUCUACGUAGAAACGCCGAAGUAGAUCGCAUUGCAGACCAUAUGAAAACGUCAGGUUUUUGACGUUUCUACCGUGGCUAGAAACGCCAUGUGGUUUAGCGUUGCUGACCUUGAUUUUGUAAUCUUGGCUCUUGUCUCUUCCUUGUCAGGUCAACUUUUUAAACUAGUGACAAUAUCUACUCCAGCAACGCCAACCCCCAUGACGUUGCUGCUUCUGCCUCAGCGCCUCGUGGUCCUAACAUGCUUGCUGACAAUCUCUACUUCAGCAACGCCAACCCUCAUGGCAUUUCCAGCGUGGAUAGAAACGUCAAAUACCCAGGUGUUGCCAUAUGGUCUGCAAUGCGAGCUAGUUCGGCGUUUGAAUGUGCAGCAAAAACGCGAAAAUAGACUGCGAUUUUACGUGCAGCAGCAAUGUCACGGACGGUGGCGUUUCUAAAAGGGUCAGAUCGCGAAAUACUUUUAAAUCAAGUUCAGUUUGUGACACAAAUUGUUAAAAGAGUCAGAACAGUGUAAAAAGCCCCAAAGGUAAUUAAGAGGACGAGUAGGUCCGUAGCUUUAAUUUGUGGCAAUUUUGAUAGUCCCCAAUUUUAGCAAUUUUGUCAUUGUUGUAGGCGUAGAGUUUAGCAAUUUUGACAGCCGGUCCGCAAGUUUAGCAAUUUUGACGGCAAGUAAGUUUGUCGUUUUUGACAGUCAAUAAUGCUAUACUUACGUAAAGAUUUACAUAUGUUUACGGACCGGACUGAUUUGGCUAUGUUUGAUUGAAUUAGAUGAAGGAUUAGGCCCACCCAUCUUGAAAAUUAGAGGGUCAGUAUUAAAUUAAGAAAAAAGAAGAGUUAGUACGUAAGACUUCGUAGACUUUUAAGUAAGUCUAGCAUUAUUGUUCCAUAAAAGGAGGCGUGUGCGUGUGGAGGCACUCUCUUAAAUUGCUAGCCUGUACGUUUUCAUGCAUGGUGAUGAGGACAAAAUUGAAACGAGGAGUUUGCAUGCGAUGCAUGGUCAAUAAUGAUCUAGAAGCAUCUUGCGCGUGGGGCCUGACUGACCUGAGGCAUGGCAUCAUUCUCAUCGCCACAUUCGUUCUUAAAUAUAGUUCUUUUAAUUUUUUUAUUAAAAUAUUUUAUACGGAUGUAUAUAAACAUAUUAUAGAAUAUAGAUUCAUUCAUUUUGUUCGUUUGUAUUUCCUUAAUGAAAUUUCUAAAAAUAUUUAUAUUUAAAAAUAGAGGAAGUAUAUUCUAAUCAUACUUUGCAUUUGAUGAGCAUAUAACCCAAUAGCCUCUUCUUCUUUAGAUUUUCAUCAUUAUCUAUUGGCUCAAAGUAUGUACCAUAUUUGAAAACUUCUUUAUCUCUUCAUCAUAUUUUAUCUCUCGUUUUUGGAUAUACAGCGCCUCUUAUAUAUAUUGAAGAUGAUGACCGAUUAAAACAACACAUAAUCAAAACAUCAAAUAUACUAUCUUUUCAUCUAUGUUUUAUCUCUUCAUCGUAUUUUAUCUCUCGUUCGUGGAUACCUCCCUGUCCCAACUCCCAACCGUACCCUGAUUGAAAUUUUCAACACUACCUUGCUUUGCAUGACUUGACAGCACACCCCAAAGCAGUCACGUACUUACAUGGCGGGUGCAGCUGGGAGUAGACCCACGGAGCACACUUUCUUGUACAGUAUGAUCACUAGUAUUUCAUGAUUCGUAGACAUCUACUACAACGAUCGGUUGAAUGAUUGCAAACAGUUCCCGCCUAAUUGCAAGCUUCCAACGAUACAAUUUUUUUUUACAAGCUUUCCAAGUCGUUAUGGGUCGUCGGUCGUCGGUGCUCGGCUGGAGUAUUAAAGAAACAAACAUCUCAACUUGUACCCCGAGCAUGCCACCAGCGGCGUAGCACUCCUCCAUGCCGUCCCACACAUCAGCAGCUGCUUCUCUACUGGCACUGGCAGCAUGGCUCGCCGUGGCGGCAGCGCUGCUUCGAGUUGGAGCAGCAUCGCCGAGCAGCAGCUGCCAGAGGAAAUGCGGCGACGUGGAAAUCCCUUACCCGUUCGGCAUCGUCCAUUCGCCUGACGACGCCAACUGCGCCAUGCCCGGCUUCAACCUGACCUGCAACGAGACCGGGAUUAAUGGGCGGCCAUUUUUGGGCAACGUGGAGGUCGUCCGCGUUUCGCUGCAGCAAGGUCAGGCCCAGAUGCAGAACCAUAUCUCCAGCUACUGCUACAACGCCACCUCGCACGGCAUGGACGCCGACCCUUGGCAGCUCAACUUCAGGGGCACGCCCUACAGGAUCGCCGACACCAACAAGUUCACCGUCAUCGGCUGCCAAGCGCUGGCGUACAUCCUGGGCACGCGCGCCAACAAGUACGCCAGCGGCUGCGUGGCCAUGUGCCGGCGGGGAGGCGGCGGCGGCGGCGACGUGAGCUCCGCCCUCAGCAACGGCUCCUGCUCCGGGAUAGGGUGCUGCCAGACCGCCAUCCCCAAGGGGCUCCAGUACUACCGGGUGCGGUUCGACUCCGGCUUUGACACCACGGAGAUCCACGACGUCAGCCCCUGCAACUACGCCGUGCUCAUGGACGCCUCCAACUUCACCUUCCAGACCACCUACGCCACCUCGCCGGGGUUCAAAAGCACCUACGGCGGAGAGGCGCCGCUGGCGGUGGACUGGGUUGUCGGAAAGGAGACAUGCGACGCGGCGCGCAAGAAUUCCUCGUCCUACGCCUGCGUCAGCGACCACAGCGAGUGCGUCGACUCGCUCAACGGACCCGGCUACUUCUGCAAGUGCUCCAUGGGCUACGGCGGCAAUCCUUACCUGCAAGAUGGAUGCAAAGGUGUGUACCAACUCAAAAACACUAGUAUCUGUAAAUAUAAUUAUAAUAUACUCCUAUACGGCAUUGCUAUUCUCAAUCUAUUCAUAAACCAUCGAAAGAUGCCUCCAUGCAUCGACCGAUUCAUUGAUGCGUAGAACUUCUUUUUUUUAAAUAAUAACAUUCCCUUCGAUUUAAAAUAAGUGUCUAAACUAAAGUUGAACCAAACUUAGUUCAAAGCCGCGGCACUUUUUUUUUUUGGAUCCGAGGGAGUAUAUUUUAAUGAAAUUUGGUUCAAUGUUCGGAGUAAUAAUACGAGAAUUAAAACUGAAAAAAUAUAGGAUUUAUUGUGUUUGAUUAUUGUAUAGUUGAUGAAACAUAUUUAUUUAUUUUAAAGAGCAUAAUAUAGUAACUUAUCUUACAUGUUUGCAUGUUGUAGUGAACUUUUUCCUGUGCACUGUUGCAUAACAAAAAUGCUAAACCUAUAAAAAAAUACAGGAUUUUACACGAUCUAUUCAUCUAAUGAUCAAUCACAAACUUGCCGCCCCUGAUUUUCAGUGGGGUGGGCCGCCUCCCUCUCCUAUUGAUCAAUCACAAUCUAAAAAAUUAACCCACUUUGUAAAACCCUGUAAGUUGUUCGUACGUGCAGCAUUACUGAUUGCGUAAUUAAUGGGGCCAAUCUUUUGUCAUGUACUCCGUAUGUACUCUCUCCGUUCCAAAAUAUAAGACCUUUUAGGGAUUCCACUAGAAAACUAUAUACGGAGCAAAAUAAAUGAAUCUAUACUCUAAAAUAUGUCUGUGUACAUCCGUAUGUAGUUUAGUGCAAUCUCUAGAAUGUCUUAUAUUUAGGAACGGAGGGAUUAUCUUGCAUGCUUAGUUGAUAUGCUUGUAUGCUGAGAAAUAGGUUGGUCAGGGCAAUACAUUUAAAUGUACUCCCUCCGUACCUAAAUAUAAAUCUUUUAAGAUAUUUCAUUAGGUGUCUACAUACGAAGCAAAAUGAGUGAAUCUAUAAUCUAAAGUAUGUCUAUAUACAUCCGUAUGUAGUUCAUUAGUGAAAACUCUAGAAAGACUUAUGUUUAGGAACGGAGGGAGUAGAAUAUUUGAUCAUUGAUUCCCUGAAAAUAUGAUCUUUGGUGGCAGAUAUUGACGAGUGCACAGAACUGCCAAAAUACCCUUGCUCUGUAUCUGGAACAUGCGAAAAUAUGCCUGGUGGAUUCAACUGUACUUGCCCCAAGCAUACCAAAGGCAACGCCCAAAAUGGGAUAUGCGAGAAAAACCACACACUUGAUCGUGGAGAAAAACUCGGUAUUGGUACGUACACAUCUCUGACGUAUGUCUACUAUCUAUAACUAUUACUUUUUUGAGAGUACAUCUAUAUAUAACUAUUAAUAAAGAAAAUAGUUUAUUUUAUCAUGCUGUUUUACAAAAAAUCCCACAUAGUUCUGAUAAUCAACCCACACUUCAGCUUUAAGUUGGGUUUUUUUGCUUUUGUAGAAAAUUCUCUGAUGUUUUUGAUAAUCAACCGCAAUCCAAUUUUAAGUCAGAAUUUUUCUUUUCCAGUAAACCCCCUUAUAUUUGGGUUUAAUCAAUCCGCAGUGCAGAUCAAAUAAUUUUAAAAAAUACCAUAUCUAUUAAACUCUAACUUCAAAUUUAACAUAUUAUAUAUGAAAUUUGAUUAGAAAAUGUGCAUGAUAUGAAUAUAAUGUUAUUUUACAUGUUAACUAUUUUGAUAAUAUAAUUUAUGGUGCAAAUUAAUUAGUAGUAUAGGAUCCGUCUUUCUUUCAUACCGGUGUCGAUCCAGAUUAAAAAUAAAUUCUUCGCUAAAACCAUGAUAGGAGCCGAAAGAAACCAUCUAUUGCCACACAUGAACACCUCGUGAAAACCUCAAGAGAGAAAAAGCAGAUUUGUCAUCUUAUGUCGAGAGAGACGUCUUAAGAUUAAUAGCAUCUAAUUGUGUCGUGAUUGUGUGAGUACUGAGGCCACGUUAGCGAGGGUGAAAAGGAGGAUAGGUGACAACACAUAUGGGAUGUCAUGUGUUGAGAUUAAUUAAAUGGAUAAAUUGAGAUCUUGAGCCAUGGUUAUUGGGCCAGAGGAGUGCGAUAUUCUUUCCCGUUGCAACGCACAACCUCUUUAAUUUGCUAGUACAAUCUAAGCACAUGAUAUAUCGACAUUGUGUAUAAUUUCAUUUAAGAUUCCUAGUGCCAAUUAAUUCCAUCUUUUACUAAAUAAACACAUGUUCUGUUUUGCCCCAAAUGAGAAAUGAUGACUAACCUUGGUAUAUACUCUUCAGGAGCUUUUGGCGUUGUUCUGGUUGGCCUGGUCUGCAUCCUUGCAGUAGAAAUUAUCCGUCACAAAAGGAGUAUCAAGAGACAAGCGCUGAUCAGGCAGAGUGAUGAAUACUAUCAGCAGCACGGGGGGCAGAUACUGUCAGAAAUUAUGAGAGUAGAGCGUAACAUUGGGUUCACUGUCUACGCCAGAGGAGAGAUCGAGGCGGCAACAAACGGGUUCGACAAGGCGAACAUCAUCGGGGAAGGAGGGCAGGGCACCGUGUACAAGGCGGUCCUCGAUGUCGACGGCAAGGACACACAUGUGGCCGUGAAGAGAUGCAUGGAGGUGGACGAGAGCAGGACGAAGGAUUUCGUGCAGGAGCUGGUGAUACUCUGCCGCGUCGACCAUCCCAACAUCGUCAAGCUCCUGGGUUGCUGCCUGCAGUUCGAGGUGCCCAUCCUGAUCUACGAGUACGUGCAGAACAAAACCCUGCAGGAGCUACUGCACAGCCAGCCGACCCUGUGUCGCGCCACCCUGGGGAUCCGUCUGAGGAUCGCCGCGCAGGCCGCCGCAGCGCUAGCGUACCUACACUCGUUGGCGCAUCCGAUACUCCACGGCGACGUGAAGCCCGCCAACGUCCUGCUCACCGACGGCUGGGUCGCCAAGGUGUCCGACUUUGGCUGCUCCACCAUCGAUGAGAAGACCCAGGUGGUGGCCAGAGGCACGGCGGGCUAUGUUGAUCCGGAGUACAUUUUUGAGUACCAGCUCACCCAGAAGAACGACGUCUACAGCUUUGGGGUCCUCCUUCUGGAGCUCCUUACCGGGAAGAAGCCGCUGUCAAAACUCCGGAAGAGCCUGACGGUGAUGGUUCAGGAAUCUAUGGAGGAUGGCACGCUCCAACAGCUCUUUGACAGGGAAAUAGUCGAUGAUGCUAGCAUGGGAUUGGCCCUUCAGGCCACAGAGCUGGCGACUCGAUGCUUAGUCAUGCCAGGGAGCAGGAGGCCGACGAUGAGGCACGUUGCGGAGGAGCUCCGGCAGCUCGCAGAUCAAGUGAAACAGCCGCUGGUGUGUGAGUAUCACAGCCUCACAGUCACGGAUGUGGGGAGCUCCAUGUCGUCUGAGAGCGACACAACCACCGGGGUUUUCAGCCUUGAGAAGAAAGUCGCGCUGAGCACGGAAUUCGCUAGAUGAGAUCAUGACAAGUUAACAUGCAUAUUGGAGAUUGCUGCUACACUCGAUCGGUUGUGUCGUGUCUUGGUUGCAUCGCGUUUGUGGUGGUUUGCUUUACUUUAUAAAUAAAGCUGGAGGGAAGACUAUUUUAAUAAAAACUGUUUGUUAGUUAUUAGCUCUAUAACGGUACCACGUGUUUGUUGGUGUUGCUGCAAUAUGCAUGUAAGUACUCAUUUGAGACAGAUUUACUACGGUUCAAAUUUUCCUCUGAGUUUAUGGUUUUGUCUCAUAUCCCUACAUCUCGACUCUAAUGAUGAGGCAGUGGGCACAGCCCUUGAAAUCUUAUCUAUCUACCUACUAUAUACUCCCUCCAUUUCUAAAUAUAAGUCUUUUAAGCAAUUUCACUAGAUGUCUACAUACGAAGCAAAAUGAUUGAAUGCACACUCUAAAGUAUGUCUAUAUACGUCUGUAUAUAGUCCACUAGUGAAAUCUUUACAAAGACUUAUAUUUAGGAACGGAGGGAGUAUAUAUUAAAACGACAAUUUGGAUUAACUAUGCACACACACACACACCAUAUGAGAAGUGUGGCUCUAGAUGAUCAAUCUGAAAUAUACUUCCUUUCGUUGUGUGACACAUAUUUUCCUAAAUCAUCUUUUAAUCUAUGAUCAUGUUUAUAUAAUUUUUAUUAACAUAUCUAACACCAAUUAAAAUAAUUAGGUUCAUUAUUGAAUAUAUCUCCAUAUCAUAUAUAUUCGUUAUUAUAAAAUGUUCAUAUUGUUUUUUAUAAACAUGGUCAAACUUCAUGAAAUCCGCCUUCACCGCUGUCUUCAACUUGACCAUAAACUUUCUUAUUAGUGAUAGUUGGCUUUCAUCUCCGCCUCCGACUGAAUGAAGUCUAGGAUGGCAUGCUACUCCGCCGCCUCCUUCGGUUGAGUCACCUUAGUCUCCGGCCAUGCAUACUGAAGCCCGCGGGCAUGGGAUCUGCGUCCUCCGCCUCCACCUCCUCUAUGGCAGAGGACGCAGAUCCGAUCAUGCAAUUUGCGUACUUAUCAUGCUCAUUUAUUACCCUCUUUAUUUAUUUACUACAUAUUAGUUUUUUCUUAAAAUCAUCUUUUAAUCUAUGAUCAAGUUUAUAUAAUUUUUGUUAACAUCUCCAACACCAAUUAAGAUCAUUGGGUUUAUUAUCGAAUAUAUAUUCACAUCAUAUAUAUUUGUUAUUAUAAAAUGUUCAUAAAGUUUUUUUAUAAACAUGGUCAAAAUUUACGAAAUCCGCGUUCACUUGUGUCUCCAACUUGACCAUAAACUUUCUUAUUAGUGGUAGUUGGCGUCCACCUUCGCCUCCGAUCGGAUGAAGUUGAGGAUGGCCUGCUACUCCGCCGCCUCCUCCGCUUGAGCCACCUCGAUCUCUGUCAUGGUGUCGGCCAUGUUAAAGCCCGCAGGUAGGCCUCAGAUCUGCGUCCUUUGCUUACACCUCCUGUAUGGCGGAGGACGCAGAUCCGGCCAUGCAAUUUGCGUAGUUAUCAUGCUCAUUUAUUACCUUCUUUAUUUAUUUUUCUUAAAUCAUGUUUUAAUCUAUGACCAAGUUUAUAUAAUUUUUAUUAACAUCUCUAACACCAAUUAAGAUCAUUAGGUUUAUUAUUGAAUAUAUCUUCACAUCGUAUAUACUUCCUUCGUCUCAAAAUUUUUGUCUUAGCUUUAUUUAAAAAUAAAUGUAUCUAAAUACUAAAACGUGACUAGAUACAAUCAUAUCUAGACAAAUUUAAGACAAAUUUUUUGUAACGGAUAGAGUAUUUGUUAUUAUAAAAAAUUUAUAUUGUUUUUUAUAAACAUGGUCAAACUUCAUGAAACCUGCCUUCACCUCUGUCUCCAACUUCACCAUAAACUUUCUUAUUAGUGGUAGUUGGGGUUCAUCUUUACUUUUUACCGAAUGAAGUCGAGGAUGGUCUGCUACUCCGCCGUCUCCUCCGCCUUAACCACCACGAUCUUUGUCACGGUGUCGGCCAUGCUGAAGCCCGCAAGCACCGGAUCUGCGUCCUCCGCCUCCACCUCCUCUGUGACCGCCUCCUCCUCCAGUUGUGGUGAAUCCGAAGGCAGGUCGACAUCAAUCCAAGCAUCGUGCAUCCAGUUCUUCUUCGGCGGCCGUGACUGUCCCUCCCGAGUACUUCUUCGUUAAUCUCAAGAUAAGAUGUCGGCUUACUCUCUUUACAUGUGUAUUAAAAAGAAAACCGAGAACAAGGAAGCGCAUGCACCUGGCUAGGCGAGUGACGGUAAACAACUAACUGGCCCGCUGCAUUGCAUGCGCACACGCAUGCAGCUGCUGGCAGCGCGCACCCAGAUCAUCACGGCACACGUGGCACGCCGCUCCUUCCAGAGGCCGGCCGUGUCCCGGCGACGUGUCGCCUGAGCCGUGCAUGGAUGAUCCAUGCACGCAUCAGCGAGCGAUACGUACGUAUGCAUAGGCCGGCUGCAUGCACGCAUGGCGCCAAGGCAAGAGAGGAGGGUAGGGUAGGGUGGCCCAAAUGCAAGUCCCAACCCCCGUGACAAAACCCUCAGUCAAUCCGCCGCUAUAUACACGCCGGCAGGCGUCAUAUUUCCAGGUCUCGAUCGUCGGAGAAGGAGGAGGAGAGGAAACAUAUAUAACGGCGACAUGUCCCGUUGCGUGGAUCCGCUGGUGGUGGGGCGGGUGAUCGGCGAGGUGGUGGACAUGUUCGUGCCGUCGGUGGCCAUGGCGGUGGCCUACGGCGCCAGGGACCUCAGCAACGGCUGCCACGUCAAGCCCUCCCUGGCCGCCGACCAGCCGCUCGUCCGCAUCUCCGGCCGCCGCAACGACCUCUACACCCUCGUGCGUCCCGCCGCCACCUCUGGAUUUGUUCAUAUAUAUGCAUGGGGACUUGUUAAUUUAUGAUUGCCUGCAUGCCUGGAAUGGAUGCGUGGUUGGUGAUCGAUCCAUCCAUCAUCCAUGUACUUGUACUACAUGCUGCAGGUGAUGACGGAUCCCGACGCGCCUAGCCCCAGCGAGCCCACCAUGAGGGAGUACCUCCACUGGUAUGUAUGAUUUGGCACCUCACUUGACGAUUAAACAAGUGUCAAUUCCAUGCACCUCCAUGCAUGCAUACAUGCGCGCAUCAUCAUCAGGUUUCUUUUAUUAACUGAGUUCUACUUCUACUCUACUCACUGUCACCGUGUGCGUUUUAUUCAUCUGUGUCUGCAGGAUAGUGGUUAACAUACCGGGUGGAACAGAUGCAACUAAAGGUCAGUACGUUAUUUACGACUAACGGAUCGUUAAUUAAUUUCAUAUAUAGCACUCUCAAUGCAUUGUGCUCCCAGUAAGUUUAAUUAACCAUUAAUAUGUAAAUUGCACUCUUAUAUUAUCAUUCUCGCGCGCCCCUCAUGGUAUUGCCGAUGGACAUCUUUGGUUAUAGUAGAUAUAUCCAAAUUUUUAUUUCAAAUUUUAAUUUGGUGACUUUGUACUUUGGGGGUGGGGUGGGUUGGGUGGGGGGGGGGGUCUUAUUCCUUUUCAGUUAAAUCAUUAGCCACCAUUCAAUUUUAUGUCUGGGGUCCGCACCUAGUUCUCCCAAUAUUGUUGUUUUAACACUUUAUGAGUAAACAUUUGAGCAUUGGGGACACACUCCACACAUCUCGAUGAGUAGAGUUAUAGUUGUUUUCACACUUAGCAUCUAGCAUCAUGUUAGUUAAGGCUUUUAAUUGGGAGCUAAAGAUUUCUCUCUUCUUUCAUUUCUUCAAGAUUCUCUACCAUGUCUGUUUACACCAUGAAUUAAAGUGCUACUCAAAUUAGAUUUUUUUUCUCACUUGAGUAAAUCAAUGAUAUACAUAAGCUGUGAUUAUUGUAAUGUUUCCACACUUUGAUGUCUCUAUUAAUGGUCUUAUUAGCAAUCUUCACCCUAAGUGCCUGCUUACACCUUAUGGAUGUUGAUGAUUUAAUAGACAAAGCACUACAAUAGUAAAAACACAUUUGAUGAAUAUAUAACUUACAUAUAACUAAACCCACCUCCACCCACCCCUACAUCGCACACACAUACAAACACAUACUCCAUACCUACCAUAUGUUGCCAAUAUGUUGGUCAUUGUGCCAGGUUCUUCUCAUGCUCGGGACGUCUUUGGAUCAUACGUAAAAUCCUCUAUCUCACCUAAGACCCAACCGUCACAUAUAAGAGAUAGCUUAUGUCAUUACGUAUGCCCUUAUAUAUAUAUAUGUCAUGACCAUACACAAACAUGUCGUUUUCCAUUUAUCGUUCUAUGUCGAUACCUAGUGGUUUUGACACGCGCACAUGCAUACUAUGAUUGCUCACGCAUGCCUUUAUUGCGAUAUGGACGGUUAGAAUUCGAUUUUCCCAACAAGUUCUUCGUCUUUCUACCGUCCGGUUAAUCUAUUUUUCUUUCUAUUUUAACCGGUAAUUUUUCACCAACGAGAUUAUGACAUUAGUUCAGCAACCACAAAGCCUGACGCCGUGUGUCAACUGGUCUCGCAUCCUUUUACAAUACAACCCAUUCGUUCUAAUAGAGUAUUUUGUGAACCUUGUCAUAUAUUUAAGAAAAUAGUUGUUGCAAAAAAAAAAGUUACUCGAGUCCAUACUUUCCAUUUUAAAACAAAAAUAGACUGGUACAUAGUGAUAUAUUCCUAUGGGAAAUAAAUAGUUAUAAUUAAGUUGAUGUCUCCACAACAUUUACAUGACAUAAAAUGAACAGCAUGUCACAGGAUUUCAUUCUUUUAAGGCCUUCCACCGUGCGUCGUGCCCGGCAUUUACUUAUUAUGCCAUCCCAGUUUGUGGUUGCUGAAUUGUGUUUCUACGUGCUGAUUUCAUUGUACGUUUGUAGGAAAAACAGACAUAAAGAUAGGCAGAAAAGAGAUACACAAGCAAUGAAAUACAAAAAAAAAAGAAUAAAUAAAGUGGAGUGAGUGUCUUAACACACCGCGAUGCCAACGCAGCCUUAGAUGACCGGCCGCAUGCACCUACAUAUGUACCCAAGCCCAAGUAACAAAACAAACUUGUUUGGUGGCCGCUUCCUGCGAUGACCACAUAAAAGAGGAUACGGCGCAUAAAAUAUCCACGAUAACGACGACGGUGCUCCAAGAUUCUACUCUUAUAUAUCCUCCUAAUCUUAUGUGCACCACGCGUGCGAUGCAUUGCCAGCAUUGACGCAAGCAUGGCCGCCGCAACGGCGCCGCGCCGCCGGGCGGCACGGCUGCCGCCAAGCGUUCGUCCGGGAAGCGUCCCACGUGUAUAUCCCUGCAUGCAUGCAGUACAGAUACACCGUACCUGCUAGCUUUCUUUUUUUUUGCCGCACGGUGGAUAUAUUACGGCCGAUCAAGUGUGUGUAUAUAGGAGUAUAUAUUUACGUACAUAUUUAUGUAAGUUAGCGUUUGCAGGUGAGGUGGUGGUGCCGUACAUGGGGCCGCGGCCGCCGGUGGGGAUCCACCGGUACGUGCUGGUGCUGUUCGAGCAGAAGACGCGCUUCCCCUACGUGGACGCGGCGUCGCCGGAGGACCGCGCCUACUUCAACACCCGCGCCUUCGCCGGCAACCACGAGCUCGGCCUCCCCGUCGCCGUCGUCUACUUCAACUCCCAGAAGGAGCCCUCCGGACACCGCCGCCGCUGAGGCAUGCAAUUAAUCACGCUGCAUGCCAAACAGAGCGAUGCAGACUUAUCCCGGUGAAGAAUAAUAGCCGAGCUUCCAUAUAUAUAUAUGCAUGCCAGCAACUGCUAUGUGUUGCUUUUAAUUACUGUUGUGUAAUCGCACUGUGCUUGUGUAUGCAUGCAUGAGAUGAGAUGCAUGGGAACCGAUAUAUUUUGGGGUUUUGCAGCAUAAGUCUGCAUGCCUCCGCGCGACGGGUGUUUCCCGCCGCGCCUUCUUGUAAUAAUAGUAGAAUGCAGCCGCGCUUAGUAAUUUCUUCUUGUUUGGUCCUCAAUUAUCAUGCAUACUACUCCCUCCGUUCUUAAAUAUAAAUCUUUUAAGAUAUUUCACUAGAAGUCUACAUACGGAACAAAAUGAGUGAAUCUAUACUUUAAAGUAUGUCUAUAUACAUCCGUAUGUAGUUCACUAAUGAAACUUCUUUAAAGACUUAUAUUUAGAAACGGAGGGAGUAUCAUGCAUAGUCUCUUACCGUCUUUGUACCUGCCAUCGUGUGUUACAGGGGCGGAACUACGUCCAAGGCAGCCNGUAGUCCCUUUCUAUGCUCUGUAUGUUUCAUAAAAAUAUUAAGCUACAUGCAGUCUAGCCCGUGUCCUGGGUAAAAUUGAGUCGGGCUACGCAAAGCUGAAAGCCCAACAAAGCAGCGACGGAGAACGGACUCCCGAUCGGGCUAGCUAGGUCGAAAAAAAGGGUUUGCCCCUGAUCACGCUCGUUCCUCUUCCGAUCGGCACAAGUCACGGAACCGUCGCGCACAUCGUUCUAUCACACCGAGUCGCCGCCCAUCCAGUGCGGCACAGCGCGCGGCAGUGCCCAACGCCGCCGAGAUCCGCCCCACGACGGCCGCCGCCCGCCCGUGACACGCUCGCCGUCGCACCAGCGCUUGCCAUUGCCGGUUGUGUUUCUUUUUCUACGUUGGCUCAUCAAGUCAUCAGCACCAGGCACCAGCGCUUGUCUUGUAAUUUCUUCAUGCCCGCUGGCGGUCGCACCAACGCUCGCCGUAGUACUCUGUAGCAGUUCUAGACUUCUAGUUUCUCUUUUUUUUUCAGUCCUCCAGAUUGCUCUUCUAGUUGGUAGUUUCUCUUUUUGUUCAGUUAACCAAAGAGACUGCUACAAGCCUACAACCUACAGUCUACGGACUACAUUUGGUUUAUACCGUCCACCAAAGAGACCGCCUCUUCUUAAACGUUCGUAGAACUGCUACAGCCUACAGAGUACUAACUACUAAGUACAUACUACAAUUAUGUAGUUAGCUAGCUGUUUCAGAAUUUUUACUAAUUUAAUUUGUUCUGCUUACACAGAAGAUGAAGGGGAAAAAAAGAUCAAAGCCAUGUUCAGCAAGACCGGUGUCGUCCUAUUUUCCGUCACUGUCACAACUUGCCAAUUCAAACCAACCUCGUGAGAGUGCUGCCGAAAAUUCUGAUACAAAUGUCGAUGAAAGUGGGACAAUUUUUGGACAUGGAGAAGCUAGUACAAUCCUGCAAAGUUCAACCACCGGUACAAGAUAAUCCUGAUCCUCACAAUGUUAUUAAUCCAGAACAUGAUAACAAUAGCAUAGAUGAAGAGAAUGCUAGUGUUGAGCUUAAUCCAGAUGACAUCGUGGCGGAUCCGGGCCUUCGCAAACCGAUUGAGGAGCUAGAUGUAAACAUCAGAGAUGCUGCUAGGAGAGAGUAUUUGGUAAUGGGUGCAUGCCAACCAAUUGGUCAUAAGUUUCCUGCAAAAUUAAUUGGAAGCCAGAUGCGGAGAUUUCAGGAUAAGUGGUUUAAAAGGUAUGAUUGGUUGGAAUAUAGUGUAGCAAAAGACGCUGCAUUUUGUUUUCACUGUUUUCUCUUUAAACAACCACGAGCAGAAAAUUUUGGUAUAGAAUCAUUUACGAAGGUUGGUUUUAGCUAUUCGAAGAAUGGAAUUGAAGCUUGUGAUCUUCAUGUUGGUAAGGAUAUGAAUAGUGCUCACAAUAAAGCUAGAAAAUAUUAUGACGCCUUUAGAAAUCAGCGGCAAGGUGUGGAUUAUGUGUUCGCAGCUGCCACCAAGAAGGACGAGGAAGAAUAUAAAGCUCGUGUUACAAUUAUGAUAGGCAUUGCAAAAAAAAUUCUAUUGCAAGCUCUUGCUUUUCGUGGGCAUGAUGAGUCUCGUAGCUCAAACAAUCAAGGUAAUUUUCUUGAGAUGCUGAAAUGGUAUAAAGGGAAGGAUGAAAAGGUUGCAAAAUUGCUUGACAAUGCUCCUGGAAACCGUCAAAUGAUCUCACCAACAAUACAAAAACAGAUUUGCAAAGCGUGUGCUGAAGUUACCACCAAAGCUAUUAUUGAUGACAUUGGGGAUAAAAAGUUUGCGGUACUUAUUGAUGAGGCACGGGAUGCAUCUAUUAAGGAACAAAUGGCCAUGGUUUUGAGGUUAGCCGCUACGACAUCUACAUUUCUUCUACUUGAGUGAAUCAAAAUUAUAAAGUAUGCUAAUUUUGUUUUUCUUUUAUGUAGGUAUGUCAACAAUGAGGGACAGGUGAUAGAAAGAUUUGUUGGUGUCAAGCAUGUUCCAGACACGACAUCUGCUUCACUGAGGAUAGCCGUGGACGGUAUGUUAAAAUCUCUUGGUUUAUCCAUCUCUAGUGUGAGAGGUCAAGGUUACGAUGGGGCAUCAAAUAUGAGAGGACAAUUUCAUGGCUUGCAAAGACGCAUAUUAGAUGAAAACCCAUAUGCCUUCUAUGUCCAUUGUUUUGCCCAUCAGUUGCAGCUAGUGGUUGUGUCUGUUGCCAAGUGUUGUUCCUCUGUCUUGGACUUCUUUAAUUAUGCCACCAUGAUUGUCAACACAGUUAAUGCUUCUUGUCAUAGAAAAGAUAAAUUGCUGCAAAGUCACCAUGAUGAGAUUGUGAACAAAAUUGAGACCGGAGAUAUCUUCACAGGAAGAGGAAAGAACCAAGAAACUAAUCUUGCAAGGCCAGGGGAUACUCAUUGGGGAUCUCAUCAUAAAACCUUAUGUCGUCUUGUUCACAUGUGGAAACCUGUCCUACAUGUAUUAGAGAAUUUGAGUGAUGAUGCCACUAAUGCAACACAGAAAACCACUGCUUCAGGUUUAUUGGGAAAAAUGGAAAGCUUUGAGUUUGUUUUUAUAAUGCACCUUAUGAUAAGAAUUCUUGGGAAGACUAAUGACUUAUCAACAUGCUUGCAAAAGAAAGAUUAAAACAUUGUUCGUGUUGUAGGGCUGAUAGGUACUACAUCGAAGGAAGUUGAGAAUAUGAGAAACACGGGUUGGAAUGAAAUUUUUGAACAAACAAAGGGCUUUUGUCUUGAGCAUAAAAUUGUUGUGCCAAAUAUGGAAAAUAAAAUACCAGCUAGAGGUCGUUCGAGGGGUCGUGGCAGCCAGUUAGUAACUUAUUAUGAUCAUUUCCAUUAUGAAAUAUUUAAUGUGGUGCUUGAUCAAAUUAUUGUUGAGAUGAAUAAUCGCUUUGCUGAAAGAUCUACUCAAUUAUUGAGGUGCAUAGCUUGUCUUGAUCCACGGAAUUCUUUUGCUAAUUUUGAUAUUGACAAGUUAGUUGAACUUGCAAGAAUGUAUGCGAUGACUUCUCCCCAUAUGAGUGUAUAGUCCUUCGGGACCAACUUGGCACAUUUAUUGUUGAUGCAAGAGAUGAUUCGGGCUUUGCAAAUUGUAUUGAUCUCGGGAACCUUGCUCUGAAGAUGGUUCAAACGGAGAGACACAUGACCUUUCCAUUGGUAUACCGUCUUAUUGAGUUUGCCUUGAUUUUGCCGGUUGCAACAGCUACAGUGGAAAGAGCAUUCUCAGACAUGAAGAUUAUUAAGACAGAUUUGAGGAACAAGAUGAAUGACGGCUGGAUGAAUCAUAGUAUGUUAUGCUAUAUUGAGCGAGAUAUAUUUGCAAAUAUUGAAGAUGAAAAGAUUUUGGAGCAUUUCCAAAGUAUGAGGUCGCGCAAAAGACAAAUACCCCGUUCAGCUAGUGGUACGUUACUUUCUUAGCAAUACAAUUAAUGUAUGUAUUCAUCCAUUACUUCUUUUUGAUUAAUUUUCUUAUCUUUGAUGUAGGUUAUGGUUCUUCUCCGGUGAUUGAUGAGGAAAUGGUGGGCUAAAGAUAAGAGAAAAGUUUCAUUUUGUAGGUAUUAAAAUGUGUCCUAAUUAUGCGAUUAUGGAACAAUAUAUUUUUUGUGCUUUUCUAGUGUCAUUUGGUUAAAAACUGGACAUACUUUCACUUCAGAAGUUUAAUUAUGCAUUUUAGUUUGGUUUGACUUAUAUAUUCUGAUAUGAAUAGAAGAUUAGAAGGUAUUUUUUGGGUAGUUUUUGUCCAUCACAACUUAGCCCCGGUCUUUGCCAAUUUCUGAGUCCGCCACUGGUGUGUUAAUUUUCUUUCGAUUUCUGAGAUCUCUAGAUACAUACUUCCUCUUUACCUAAAUACUUAUACUCCCUCCGUUCCUAAAUAUAAGUCUUUUAGUAGAUUCUACUAGAAGACUACAUACGUAUGUAUAUAGACAUACUUUAGUAGUGUAUAUUCACAUAUUUUGUCUUCGUAUGUAGUCACCUAGUGGAAUCUCUUAAAAGACUUAUAUUUAGGAACGGAGGGAGUACUUGGGAAGAACUACUUUUUUUAACUAUAGUACAGACACAAGUCCUCAUAUACACACGCAUACACUCAUCCCAUAAACACGCACACACACAUCCUAUCCCUAUGAGCACCUUUAAUUUUUCUCCAACUACAAGUAUUUAGAUACAAAGGAAGUAGUAAAUAUGCACCCACUUUGCAUGAUCGCUCCCUCCGUUUAUAAUACCUGUAGUGGUCUUAGUUAGCGGAGGGACUACAUGCCAAUUUUUCUUUCUUUCUUAUUUUGUUUUACUUUCAGGUGGGGCCAACAGAAAUAAGGUCCCAAAAAUCUACGAAAUUUCAGGACUUUUUCACCCGAAAUUAGCAAACGAAUUUGGUAAGGGUAUCUUGGUGCACGUAGCUUCCCCUUGNAGUUUCUUCUAUAUUUCUGUAAGAGUUCGUUGUCAGGACUCGAACUCGUGAUUUUGUAACCACAGGGCAACAACUUUACGCUAUGCCAAGCCAACAAAUGAAUUUUGUAUUAGAAAAAUAGGGUAGAAUGUACACUAUUUUCCUUGCAAAAAAAAGUAGGAUUGUUACACUAUUUAACUCAUCGUACACAUCAGGUGUAGUCUGUAUAAUAAUCUGGAACUCGACCCUACUAUCACUAGUGAGGUGGGUUACGUGUACUACCAUAAGGCUGAGGUACAUGUACUGUGAUAUUUUCUUCGUCCAAAAAUAUUUGUGAUAGAAAUGAAUGUAUGUAGAUGUACUGUAUUUUAGUUCUAGAUACAUGCAUCUAUUUUUAUCCAUUGAUGCGACAAGUAAUUCUGAACGGAGGAAGUAGUAUAUAUGUUCAGGCUCUAUUUGCAAUUGUUGGACGUUUAAAUUUAAAUAAUAUCAGUUUUUUGAAUGAUACUGAAAUUUCACGUUGUCCACACAAGAAAUUCCAACCGAAAGAACCCUGAUUUAUGCAUGCAUGAUGAUAUUCUUUUUUCCUCCAUCACAAAGCUGAAUAUUUUAAAAAAUAGCAUCCUUUGAAUAUUAGAUGUCACUGAUUUAGUAGUAGUUCUCAUGGUUUUGUUGGGUAACCGAGACCUGAGAUCUCAGUUCAAUUGAAGUGUGAAGUGUGCAGGCGACGAUCUUUACCGCCCAUUCUGGAUAGGCGGGGAGGCCCAUCUAAAUAAUCUUGCCCAGUUUGUCGCCAUGUUAGUAGUACUCUACACUGCAGUGCCAAACUUCUCAAACAAGCAUGCCAUUAAGAUAGCCUAUGACCCAAGGACGCAGUCUUGCCUUCAGGAUUUUUUUCUAACAAGAAGAUCGCUAUAAUCAUUUUUUUCCUAUUAAGAUUGCUACUACCCAUUGCUACCAUCCCUCAAUCCCUAAUUCUACUAUCCACCAGACCCAUUGCUCCAAUUGCGAAAAUCGCGUGCCUACGCACAGACACCAGCGAGAACUCCGCUCGCCAUACUCGAGUUUCCAGGCGCUAUAUGCACGGUCAGACCGCAUGGCUGAGCGCCUCCCAUCAACCGUCGGUUCACUCCACAUCAGGUCCUUGCAAAGCGCCAGAUUACCGAGCAAUCAAUGUAAAUCCGAGGUGCAUCAUAUUACCGUUCUGAAAUCCAGCCAUUUGUGAGGUAUAGAUCCUUGUUAUUAUACUCACAAAUUAUAUCACUUAUGUUAAAUAUAAUUUAUUGGAUUAAUGGCGAAUCUACUUUUAUGUUUAAGUAAAAGGUAUGAUUUGAAUGCUGAAGGCUUCUUAGAUUUUCGCAAAAAAAGGUGGCUUCUUAUAUUGGAAUGAGAUAUUUUCAUAGGAAUUUUAUUGUGCUUUUGCUGCCUUUAUUUUCAUUAGGUUUGAGUUUAGAGAUCUUACAAUUUGUCUUAUGUGAUUGCAUGUAUCUUCACUCACAUCAUUGUAAAUUCAAGAGCUUUAAACUCUUGUGAUUUUUUUAAAGUCACGGUAUAUCCAUAUUGUUGUAGUUCCUAUUUUCGUCUUCUUACGUUUUAGAAUCCAAUGUUUUCAAAACUAUUUCUUAAAUAUGAAUCAACUGCCAAAACAUGGUGGUAUAGUCAUAUGCAAACCACAUACUAUUACUAGUAUUAAUAGGCCCGAAAUUUUUGUUUCGCCCCGGACCCUCAAAAUAUCAGGACCGGCCCUGCCGAUUCUAAGCGGACCCUUAGACUUUAUUCUUACCGUUUUAUCGAUGGAGAUCGCAAAGUCCUAUGAUUGUAUAAAUGAGGUGACGUUUCUAAAAAAAACACCCGAGCAUUUGUGCCAGAACUGCGGUGAAGAAAUCUGUGUCACACAAGGAAAGGCAGGAUAAUUUGAAUUGCUUGCUCACGUCGUCUUCAUACGUAACGCAUCGCUCAACUUAAGCCACACUUUUCAUAUGGUGUGUGCAUAGUUAAUCCAAACUAUCAUUAUAAGAGUCUCUUCAGAGUCCCUCCGCUCCACGACCCCGUUCCCGGAGCAUCUGGAGCUGUACUUGAAAAUCGCAGAGCAAGGAAACAGGUGCUCCCCAGAUUCUGGGAUUCGUGGAGCCGGUGAAUUGUGAAACAAUUCCUAAUUAUAUACAGUAGGUAGAUAAAUAAGAUUUCAGGGCUGGGUCCACCGGCUCAUCAUUAGAGUCGACAUGUGGGGAUAUGAGACAAAACUGUUGAGUAAACAGGCAAUUUUCCGAGUAGAUUAAUCCACAAAAUAAUAACUAGCAUGUCAUUGACUAGACUAAUGACAUACUGAUCUUGAGCUAACCUAGCACAUACUACGCAUAUAGUGGAUACAUCUAUGCAAACAAAUAGUACUGCUAGAAUAAAUACGAACAAGAGGAUAAACGAUUCAUACCCUCCAAUCGGCCAGUUGGCCGUAGCAGCAGCAGCGGCGGCGGCGGCAGUAUCCUCUGCCGUCUUCUUCUCGGCUUCCUCGCGGAGACGAUCAGCUUCGCUUGGUGAAGACAUGGCGAUGACGAGGGCGACGCGGACGUAGACGAAGCAGACAGACGGAGGCGAGCAGUCGCGUGAUCGCUCCCCAAAAACCUAAUCGCCCCUCUCCCGUACAGGAACCGGAGAGGCGAGGUUUCGGAGGCCUGCUCUCCCGUCGACCGUGUACGCGGUAAACGGGACGGAGUCGCCGGCGGCAGCAGCAGUCAAGGAAGGAACGCGUGAGGCAGAUGUGAUCUGAUUCUCGUGACGGCUAGGGUAGGCGAUCGCGUGCUUAUAAAGGCGGCUGGGUGGAGAGACGUGGGCCAAGCCCACGUUCGAGUCGGUAACAGCCACGAUCCGACGUCUCGGAUCGUUCCUUGUCCGUUACGUAUUCUCCGUUCCUGACCGGCAAAAAUAAGCGCGUAGAUAUGAGCUCGGCUCGGCUCAUUCCCGCGUCGCGUCGCGUCGCGGCGUGGCGAGGCGCGCGGCGGCGGAGGAGUGCGCGAGGGCACCUUCUCUUCUCACUCUCCAAUAGCAUGUGGAAGAGAGACCCUUAUAAAGGGGUCCAAACUCUCCUCCACUAGCGGGGUGGGACUAAACUCCCACCACCUUGCCAUGCCACCACCUAAAUGGGCCCUUGUAGAUUUUCUGAAAUUCUCUAAUGGGCCUAAGGCCCACCUCCAAAUUUCAACAAUCCCCCACCAGAUCUCAAGGGCACAUCGUGUUCCCUCAUUCCAAUCACUGUUUUAAUAUACCAGCAUUUCAGUGAAGACCUACUAAGGUUGAGCUUCACCUAGAACAAGUAGCUACACUCCUUUACAACUGAGCAAUGGACUAUGCCUUGAAUUGUCAGCUUGGCGUAAAAGAGCUUCACCACAAGUCUUACUAGUACUAGACUGCCGAAGGUGACCCCUCGGGUGGAACAUAUUAGUCACACCCCUGGCCUAUUCAUGAGUUUACUAGAGAUCACCCAAACCUCAUAGACUGUGACCAGCAGUCAAGCUCAUAUAGGUGUGUUCCUCCAAAGAUCGCUCUGUAGGACAGCAUCUUGCUUACAUAUAAGCUUUAGAACACAUUAAGACAGUAGUCAUCCUACCAUACAGUAUCCGAGAGUAUUGCAUCUCCAACGGAGUGGGUUAGUAAAGUUACUCUCCUCAGUUCACCACUGGCUUGUUUUCCCAGGUCCUACUUCACGGGAUCUCCGAUCAUAUAGGUUGGGUUACUACCAUGGCAACUCAUGUGGGUCUCAUACCCAUCUCCCUCGAUGCACUAUCUAUCACAACACGUGAUAGCCCUUUAGUAAAGGGAUCUGCCAGAUUCUUAGCCGUUUGGAUAUAAUCCAACACUAUCACUCCGGAGUUUCUCAAACGUCUGACAGACUUCAAUCUCAUUCUUAUAUGUUUGUUGGACUUCAUAUUGUCCUUUGAACUCUUCACUUUAACAAUAACCGUCUGAUUAUCGCAGAUCAUAAGGAUAGCCGGAACCGGCUUCUCAACCACAGGUAAGUCCAUCAAAAGAUCUCGAAGAAAUUCUGCUUCGACACCAGAUGUGUCUAAUGCUGUUAAUUCUGCUUCCAUUGUCGAUCUUGUUAAGAUCGUUUGCUUGCAAGACUUCCAGGAAACAGCACCACCCCCAAGAGUAAACAUAUACCCAGUAGUGGCCUUCAUCUCAUCAGCAUCAGAGAUCCAAUUCGCAUCACUAUACCCUUCAAGUACCGAUGGGAAUCCCGUAUAGUGAAGCCCGUGGUUGACAGUACCUUUCAAGUAGCGCAUAAUUCUUUCAACAGCACGCCAAUGAACAUCGCCCGGGUUUGCAACAAACCGGCUAAGUUUGCUCACAGCAAACGCGAUGUCAGGCCUCGUUGCGCUAGCUAGUUACAUAAGUGAACCGAUAAUUUGAGAGAAUCUCAAUUGAUCUAUAGCUGUGCCUUUAAACUUUCGAAUAAGCACACUAGGAUCAUAUGGUGUUUGAUAAAUUUUGCAGUCUGAAUAUCCAAAGCGACUCAAAAUCUUAUCAACAUAGUGGGAUUGCAGAAGUGUAAUCCCACCCUCAUCAUCUCUCAACAGCUUGAUGUUCAAGAUAACAUCAGCCACCCCAAGGUCCUUCAUCUCAAAGUUUUGAGGCAGAAAAGACUUAACCUCCUCAAUUACUUUGAGGUUGGUUCCAAAUAUCAGUAUGUCAUCAACAUACAAGCACAAUAUAACUCCUUCGCCCCCACCAUGGCGAUAGUAUACACAUUUGUCAGCUUCAUUAACAACGAAGCCAACAGAUGUCAGAGUUGUAUUAAACUUCUCAUGUCAUUGCUUAGGUGCUUGUCUCAGACCAUAUAAAGAUUUCAGCAACUUACACACCUUUCCUUCCUGACCUUCUAUCACAAAGCCAUCUGGCUGUUGCAUAUAGAUUUCCUCAUUUAGCUCUCCAUUCAGGAAAGCCGUCUUAACGUCCAUUUGAUGAACGAGAAGACCAUGAGAGGCCGCCAAUGAGAGUAGUACUCUAAUGGUGGUCAGUCUAGCCACAGGUGAAUAAGUAUCGAAGAAAUCUUCCUCUUCUUUCUGGGCAUAGCCCUUGGCCACAAGCCUAGCCUUGUACUUUUCAAUCGUACCAUCGGGUCUAAGCUUCUUUUUGAACACCCACUUGCAUCCCAAUGGUUUGCAACCAUAGGGACGAUCAGUGAUUUCCCAUGUCCCGUUAGCCAUGAUGGAAUCCAUCUCGCUACGGACCGCAACUUUCCAGUAAUCAGCAUCUGGAGAAGCAUACGCUUCUGAAAUAGAAGUGGGAUUAUCAUCCACGAGGUAUACGAAGAAAUCAUCACCAAAGGUCUUUGCAGUCCUUUGUCUCUUGCCCCUACCACGGGCUUCCUCGUCAUCCUCCUCAGGAUUUUCAUCAUGUGUUUGUUCAUAAUAUUCCAUAGGAAUGGCAGGCUCAGGAGUUAUCUCAGAUUCUUGUCUAGAAGUGCUUUGCAUAUCUCUCAUGGAAAAUAUAUCCUCAAAGAAUGUAGCAUCCCUCGACUCCAUUAUUGUACCGACCUUCACGUCAGGUACCUCAGAUUUCACUACUAGAAAUCCAUAGCCUACGCUAUUCUUAGCGUAUCCCAAAUUAACGCAAUCCACAGUCUUUGGUCCAAGCUUACGCUUCUUGAGGAUCGGUACAUUGACUUUCGCCAAGCAGCCCCAAGUACGUAAGUACGAGAGUGUCGUCCUUCUCUUCGACCACUCCUCGUAGGGAGUGACCUCAUUAUCUUUUGUAGGAACUUUAUUCAGGACAUGACACGCGGUCAAUAUAGCCUUCCCCCACCAUGCCUUGGAUAAACCCGAUGUAUCUAACAUGGCGUUAACCAAAUCAGUUAGAGUACGGUUUUUCCGCUCGGCAACCCCGUUUGACUGGGGUGAAUAGGGAGGCGUCCUCUCAUGAAUAAUGCCGUGUUCCGCACAAAAUGAAUCAAAUUCGUUUGAGAAGUACUCUCCACCACGAUCAGACCGGACUCGUUUAAUUUUCUUUUCAAGUUGAUUCUCAACUUCUGCCUUAUAGAUUUUAAAGUAGUGUAGAGCCUCAUCUUUAGUAUUUAACAGAUACACAUAGCAAAAUCUAGUGGAAUCAUCUAUCAAUGUCAUGAAGUAUUUCUUUCCACCUUUAGUCAACACACCAUUCAUCUCACAAAGAUCAGAAUGUAUGAGUUCUAAUGGUGCCAAGUGUCUCUCCUCUGCAGCCUUGUGAGGCUUGCGAGGUUGCUUUGCUUGCACACACGAGUGGCACUUAGAACCUUUGGCUAAAGUGAAAGUUGGGAUUAAAUUCAGUUUUGCUAGCCGCGACAUAACACCGAAACUUAUGUGACAAAGACGUGAAUGCCAAACUUCCGAUUCAUUAACACUCGAAUGAAUAUUGUUCACGACUUUAUUACAAAAAUCUGCUAGAGAAAGGCGGAACAGACCUCCGCAUUCAUAACCUUUUCCAACGAAAAGUCCAUAUUUCGUAACUACUACUUUAUUAGACUCGAACACCAACUUAAACCCUUCUCUACACAGAAGGGAGCCACUAACGAGAUUCUUCUUGAUGGCGGGGACAUGCUGCACGUUCUUCAGCUGCACGAUCCUUCCCGAAGUAAACUUCAGAUCGACCGUGCCAACACCAAGAACAGAAGCACUUGCGCCAUUCCCCAUCAAUACGGACCCGCGACCGGUGGCCUGAUAAGAAGAGAACAAUGACAAGUUAGCACACACAUGAAUAUUUGCAUCCGUGUCCACCCACCAAUCGGUGGACUGACAAACUGUAAAUACAGUAAGUAAAUUACCAUACCCAGAUGCACCACUUUCAUUGUUGCCCACAAUCAUGUUUGCAGGCUUGGAGUCCUGCGUCGGCUUCUUGUACUUGUUUGGGCAUUUGUUCGCCCAAUGUUCCUCUGAACCACAAGUAUGGCAGCCAUCUCCCUUCUUAUUCUUCUUGAAGGGCUUCUUCCCCUUCUUCUUGAAGUCGGUAUUCUGUUGGACAGAGUUCUUUCCCUUGGGCUUGUGAGAAUUGAAGUUCCUCUGAUGUACCAUAUUGGCAGCAGAAGAGCUUUCCACCGCUUUUCCAUUGGAGUCCUUUGCUCUCGAGUUCUGCUCAACACUCAGAUGGCCGAUGAUGUCCUCUACUGAGAACUCACGCCUCUGAUGUUUCAGAGUAGUAGCAAAGUUCCUCCAGGAAUUAGGGAGCUUAGCAAUUAUACAGCCAGCGACAAACUUGCCCGGCAAAUUGCACUUAAGAACCUCAAGUUCCUUAGCUAUGCAUAUUAUCUCAUGAGCUUGUUCCAAUACAGAACGGUUGUCAACCAUCUUGUAAUCGUGGAACUGCUCCAUAACAUACAUCUCACUCCCAGCAUCGGUGGCCCCGAAUUUAGAUUCGAGCGCCUCCCACAAGUCCUUGGCAACAUGCAUAUGUAAAUAUGCAUCAACCAGCUUAUCUCCGAUCACGCUAAUGACUGCUCCAAGGAAUAGGACGGUGGCCUCCUUAAACAUCUUCUCCUGUUCAGGAGUGAUAGUUUCCGUAGGAGUGACACCGGCUACCCAGAACACGUUCAUAGCCGUGAGCCAUAAGGUGGUUCUCGUUUGCCAACGCUUGAAAAAAGUAUCGGUAAACUUAUCCGGUUUCAGUGCAGCAGCAAAACCAUUACUCGAAAAAUUCCUACAGAUAUUAGGUUUUUGGAUUGUUGAGUAAACAGGCAAUUUUUCGAGUAGAUUAAUCCACAAAAUAAUAACUAGCAUGACAUUGACUAGACUAAUGACAUACUGAUCUUGAGCUAACCUAGCACAUACUACGCAUAUAGUGGAUACAUCUAUGCAAACAAGUAGUACUGCUAGAAUAAAUACGAACAAGAGGAUAAACGAUUCAUACCCUCCAAUCGGCCAGUUGGCCGUAGCAGCAGCGGCGGCGGCGGCAGUAUCCUCUGCCGUCUUCUUCUCGGCUUCCUCGCGGAGACGAUCAGCUUCGCUUGGUGAAGACAUGACGAUGACGAGGGCGACGCGUACGUAGACGAAGCAGACGGACGGAGGCGAGCAGUCGCGUGAUCGCUCCCCAAAAACCUAAUCGCCCCUCUCCCGUACAGGAACCGGAGAGGCGAGGUUUCGGAGGCCUGCUCUCCCGUCGACCGUGUACGCGGUAAACGGGACGGAGUCGGCGGCGGCAGCAGCAGUCAAGGAAGGAACGCGUGUAGGCGAUUGCGUGCUUAUAAAGGCGGCUGGGUGGAGAGAUUCCUGACCGGCAAAAAUAAGCGCGUAGAUAUGAGCUCGGCUCGGCUCGGCUCAUUCCCGCAAUGAGCGGCGCGUCGUGACGAGGCGGGUGGCGGAGGAGUGCGCAAGGGCACCUUCUCUUCUCACUCUCCAAUAGCAUGUGGAAGAGAGACCCUUAUAAAGGGGUCCAAACUCUCCUCCACUAGCGGGGUGGGACUAAACUCCCACCACCUUGCCAUGCCACCACCUACAUGGGCCCUUGUAGAUUUUCUGAAAUUCUCUAAUGGGCCUAAGGCCCACCUCCAAAUUUCAGCAAAAACCUCAAACUCAGAGGAAAAUUUAAACUGUACCUAGCAGUAAACAUGUAUGAAAUGAGUAGUUACAUAAGUAGAAACACCUACUCCCUUUGUAUCUUCUCCCAAACUACAAUUAUUAGAUAUAGAAGGAGCACAAACGUGAUACCCCUAUAGACCAUAUAGACAGCAAACAGUUUAUAUCAAACUAGGUUCUGACCCCGCUUUAUGUAUAAAGCAAACAACGACAAACACAACCAAGAUACAACCGAGUAGCAACAAUUUCUAACAUGUUAACUUGUCAUGAUCUCAUCUAGCGAAUUCCAUGCUGAGCACGACUUUCUUCUCAAGGCUGAAAACCCCGGUGGUUGUGUCGCAUUCAGACGACAUGGAGCUCCCCACAUCCGUGACUGUGAGGCUGUGACACUCGGACACCAGCGGCUGUUUCACUUGAUCUGCCAGCUGCCGGAGCUCCUCCGCAACGUGCCUCAUCGUCGGCCUCCUGCUCCCCGGCAUGACUAAGCAUCGAGUCGCCAGCUCCGUGGCCUCAAGGGCCACUCCCAUGCUAGCAUCACCGACUAUUUCCCUGUCAAGGAGGUGAUGGAGCGUGCGAUCCUCCAUAGACUCCUGAACCAUCACCGUGAGGCUCUUCCGGAGUUUUGACAGCGGCUUCUUCCCGGUUAGGAGCUCCAGAAGGAGGACCCCAAAGCUGUAGACGUCGUUCUUCUGGGUGAGCUGGUACUCGAGCAGGUACUCCGGGUCAACGUAGCCCGCCGUGCCUCUGGCCACCACCUGGGUCUUCUCAUCGAUGGUGGAGCAGCCAAAGUCGGACACCUUGGCUACCCAGCCGUCGGUGAGCAGGACGUUGGCGGGCUUCACGUCGCCGUGGAGUAUCGGAUGCGCCAACGAGUGCAGGUACGCCAGCGCUCCGGCGGCCUGCGCGGCGAUCCUCAGACGGGUUCCCAGGGUGGCGCGGCACGAGGUCGGCUGGCUGUGCAGUAGGUCCUCCAGGGUUUUGUUCUUCACGUACUCGUAGAUCAGGAUGGGCACCUCGAACUGCAGGCAGCAACCCAGGAGCUUGACGAUGUUGGGAUGGUCGACGCGGCAGAGUAUCACCAGCUCCUGCACGAAAUCCUUCGUCCUGCUCUCGUCCACCUCCUUGCAUCUCUUCACGGCCACAUGUGUGUCCUUGCCGUCGACAUCGAGGACAGCCUUGUACACGGUGCCCUGCCCUCCUUCCCCGAUGAUGUUCGCCUUGUCGAAAUCUUUUGUUGCCGCCUCAAUCUCUCCUCUGGCAUAGACAGUGAACCCAAUGUUACGCUCUACUCUCAUAAUUUCUGACAGUAUCUGCCCCCCAUGUUGUUGAUAGUAUUCAUCAUUUUGUCUGAUCAACGCUUGUCUCUUGAUACUCCUUUUGUGACGGAUAAUUUCUAUUGCAAGGAUGCAGAUCAGACCAAUCAGAACAACGCCAAAAACUCCUGAAGAAUAGGAUGCCAAGGUUAGUCAUCAUUUCUCGUCUUGGAAAAAAAAGAAAACUUCUUUAUUCCGGUUUUGCUAAAUCACAUCUAGAUUUGACAUAAGUAUUGCACAUGUAAGUUCUAUAUCAUUGAUUUUACAUGAAGAUUCGAGUGGGUAUUUUUUUUAUGCUUGAUUCAGUUAUUUAGGCCAUGUUUGGAACCAUAAUAGAUUAUAAUAAUCUAGAUUAUGAAGGUAGAUUAUAUAAUCUGGUUUGUAAAAAUAAUCUAGGUGAACAUGUUUGGAGGCCAGAUUAUAUAAACUGUAAUCCAGGUUUUACAUUGCAUAAUGACCUGUCUGUCCUUUGUUUUGUUAGAAAAAGGAGGAUGGCGGUGGCAGGGAUGUAAUUAUCUCCAACUUUACAAAGGUAAUGGGUCAUUAGCAAUCCAUAAUCUGAUUUUAGCUGGGGUAGAAUAGAUUGUGAGUUUUUAAUAAUCUGUCCAUCUAGUUUUUAUAAUCUACACCUUAAUCUGUCCUGUUUGGAGACAGAACAGAUUAUAAAAACUGGAUUAUAUAAUCUGAGUGGUUCCAAACAGGGCCUUAGAUGUGCAUUAAUUACGUUACAUCUAGACGAGCCCUCAUUUGUUGGAUCGGGUUCCACUAUCAGAAGUUAACGGAACAUGAAAACAAAGCGUAAAAAGAAAACAUGUGUUUUUGAUUGAGUAAAAGAUGGAAUUAAUUGGCAAAAAAGAAGAAGCGCUUCGGAUUGAUUAAAAGAUGGAAUUAGUUGACACUAAUAUGAAUUUGAACACAUGUAUAAGGUCAAAAUAUUAUGUACCAAGAUUGUACUCUCACCGCUUUUAUUUACUGCACAUAUUAGCUUUGCUUAAAGUCAAACCUUAUAAACUUUGAUCAAGUUUAUACUCCCUGCGUUCCUAAAUAUAAGUCUUUUAAGCGAUUUCAGUAGUGAACUACAUACGGAACAAAAUGAGUGAAUGUACACUCUAAAAUAUGUCUAUAUACAUCCGUAUAUAGAUUCCUAAUGAAACCUCUAAAAAGACUUAUAUUUAGAAACGGAGGAAGUAGAAAAAAAUGUUAACAUAUAAAGUACCAUUAGAUUCAUCACUAAAUAUAUUUUCACCUCAAAUACAUUGUAUUUUGAAUUUUGAUAUUAUAUUUUAUAAACUUGGUGAAACUUUAUAAAUUAAGUUUUACUUUGGUCGAAGUUAAUAUACAAACUAAAUAAAAAUAGAGGGCUUAUAGCAGACGUAUAUUAGAGAUAUUGACGUACCAAUACCGAGUUUUUCUCCAAGACCAAGUGUGCGGUUUCUCUCGCAGGUCCCAUUUUGGGCGUUGCCUUUGGUAUGCUUGGGGCAUUGACACUUGAAUCCGCCGGGGAUAUUUUGGCAAGUUCCAGGCACAGAGCAAGGGUAUUCCCCGUCUGUGCACUCGUUAAUAUCUGCCACCAAAGAUCAUUUUUUAAGGAAUCAAGUUAACGCAGGUUUUUUCUUCUGCUAACCAUGUGCUUAAUAAUACAGAUAAAAAACAGUUAUAGUUCAGCCUAGCUAGGAAGCACACCGUGAAUCUCUAUUAUUUCUUGUGAAGAAAAAGUAUCUCAUUCUUAGAUGAUUGAUCCUUGUUUGUGUAAUUAAUCGUCGAUCAACUGAUGAUGGAACAUGCAUGUGGGGUCUAUAAACUGUUUUGAGUUGGUACAAACCUUUGCAUCCACCUUGCUCCGGACCUUGCAGGUAAGGAUUGCCUUGGUAACCCUUGGAGCAGUUGCAGAUGUAGCCUGGUCCGUUGAGCGAGUCGAAGCACUCGCUGUGGUCGGCGACGCAGGCGUAGGACGAGGAAUUCUUGCGCGCCGCGUCGCAUGUCUCCUCUCCAACAACCCAGUCCACCGCCAGCGGCGCCUCCCCGGCGAAGGUGGCGUUGAACCCCGGCAAGGUGGCGUAGGUGGCUUGGAAGGUGAAGUUGGAGGCGUCCAUGAGCACGGCGUAGUUGCAGGGGCUGACGUCGUGGAUCUCCGUGGUGUCGAAGCCCGAGUCGAACCGCACCUCGUAGUACUGCAGCCCCCUGGGGAUGGCGGUCUGGCAGCACCCGAUCCCGGAGCAGGAGCCGUUGCUGAGGGCGGAGCUCACGUUGCCGCCGCCGCCGCCUCCCCGCCGGCACAUGGCCACGCAGCCGCUGGCGUACUCGUUCUCGCUCGUGCCCAGGAUGUACGCCAGCGCUUGGCAGCCGAUGACGGUGAACUUGUUGGUGUCGGCGAUCCUGUAGGGCGUGCCCGUGAAUUUGAGCUGCCAAGGGUCGGCGUCCAUCCCUUGCGAGAUGGCGUUGUAGCAGUAGCUGGAGAUAUGGUUCUGCAUCCGGACCUGACCUUGCUGCAGCGAAACGCGGACGACCUCCAUGUUGCUGAAAAAUGGCCUGCGGCUCCCGCCAUUAAUCCCGGUCUCGUUGCAGGUCAGGUGGAAGCCG